CCCGAGAAGGUCCGUUCCCUUGCGGGCAAAUAGCCAUUUCGUCGGGCUAUAUUUUUUUAAUAGGUUCGAUCGACCCUGCGGGCACGACUUAGUCCUAUGUUAGGAGAGGCUUCGAGGGGGUCGUUAGCCAAGUGCUUGGUCCGAGCUCGUCUUCCCAAGUCACUUAUAGCGAGAGCACUUUUGGAGCCGCCUCGGACUUGGGCCGAACUCGUCUUCCCGAGUAGCGAGGUUAGGAUACCGUCAAGACUCUAACCCUACCCCUUCUCCUUCGAUCCCGUGCCAACCAAGGUUAGUUCGGAGCCUCGAAACUAGAGUCUCGUAAAAGGCUUCUCGAGGCCGAUCGACUUUCAGUCGAGAGCGGCGCGCGAGAGCGAACCUUACAGAGAGCACUCUAACCCUCUCCCCUUGAGUUUAUUCAAGUGAGAGUGAAUGAUACAUGCCCCAUGGGGGUAUUUAUAGCCUAGGGAUCCAUGGCAAAAGACCAUGGCUACCCGUGAGGGAGAGAGAAAAGUGGGGGCAAAGUGGUAAAAGUAGCUCCUUGGUCCAUAACUUUUGUGUGCACCAUGUGGGGGAAAGUGAGGGUUGGUCCAUGGUCCACCAUGGACCAAAAGCCUCAUUUUCCACACCUUUCUUGCCCCUUACUCUAACUCAUUUUAUCCUUUGACUAUUGCAUGAGAGGCUUGACUUGUUAACUUGUCUUCCUUUUGCCAUGUAGGAUUGACUACGUCAUGUUGGCAUCUUGACUCACGCUGAGAAAUGUUUACCUAGUCGCCGCAACGUAGGAUUUACGGUCCGGCCCAUAUAAGGAUUUUAUUUUACUACAACAAAACACAACUAGGAUCUAUAGUGAACAACUUAACAAACAUUUAGGACUCAAACAUGCAUUUUUAAACAUUUAGGACUAACUUGACACUUUUGCGAAAGCUGCAUUUUACUCUUUCUAUUUUAUUUAUUUAUACACUGAAGUACUAUUUUCUCUGGUUCACUUUCUAGCAAAAAAAUCUUCCAGGUUGUACGUACUUCUUUCGUUGAAUUUUCGUACUCUAAUUAUUUCUGUACGGGUCAGUUUUUGCUUAUUACACUGUUGAUAUCAUUUUGACAUUUUGUUUUCUUUCUGUCCCAAGCCUGACUCAUGGGUAAAUUUCUUGUUAGCAACGAGACCGAACUACGGAAAUUAUUAACGGUUUUGCUAUAUCAAGGUUGUACCAUAUCCAUCACGUGUGAUCUGCUGCUGGCCAUAAUACCACUAAUGCUCAGUCCGGAAAUGAGGAUAUCCAGCACGAGCUUUUCCGUAGGGAGGACACCAAUGCCCAGCUCAUCCUCUGUAGCCUGGAGCAUUGCUCACGGCGCCCUGAAUUGAGGCAUUUCCUCAAACACGUUGUGGCCUUAUGGGCAUUUACUUGCCACUACUCUUGCGCGGCAAAUAAGCUGUUGAGAUGCGUGCUGCCAUGGCACGUAGGUAGCAGAAGGCAUUUCAACAAACACCUGAUGAGCGCAACUACGAUGCUACAUAAAUUCGGUGCCGGUCUUCCGCCGCCAGGCACCAGUGAAGACAUCCACGGAAGGCCGACAUGUUUGAAUCUGUAUGAAACGAAGGUAAAAUCAAGAGACGACUCAGCGUUAACAUCUUUUGCGUCUCUCCUAAAUAAAGUACUUCUAUGCUUGUUUGCCUGUACAGUUCUUGAGUUUUAUUUAUAAUAAUUUGCAGUAGGCUUCUGGUCUCUGUUUCUCUUCGAAAAGUAUGCUUGUUUUCCUACCAGACACGAACAAGCAGCCAGACAAAGGUGUCUUGUUCAAGUUUCAUUCCGUUGUCGAUGCCUACGUAUCAAACGAAGGUAAAAUCAAGGGGACGACAUCCAUUAUUGAUAAAAUAAAUAAAACUCUGAUCUGUCUCUUUUUCGCAUUGGUCAUCAAGAAUGUGACAAGUAAUUUGCUGAAAGCUUUCGGAUUCUUCUUUGUCGUGGGUAAUGUCUCUGGUCCCAAGUCCCCAACUACCGUGACAGAUUAAACCCUACACUAAUUGUCAGCUAUCAAAUCUAUCAAUCAAUAAAUGGAUUAAGCUAAACUCCUUGAACAGCACCUGACCUGUUCGAGAAAUCGCCGCAAUGGAAGAAGGGGAUCAGCUGAUGAGCAAAACGAGCGAUGAACACCACCACCUCAUCGACAUCGCGGCGGAGACCAAUUCGGAUGCCGUCGACAACAACUGCGACGAAGCCGAAGCCGGGCGGAAGUGGCUGCGGAAGCUGACGUCGGCGACGGUGAACAAGGCGGUGAUGCGGGACCUGAUCGCGCGGACGCCCAUGCUGUGGUACCUCGGCGAGCGGUCAGGCACCAUCCUCCGCCCGUGCACCCGGCGCGGGCGCGCGCGCGGCGGCGCCGUCGAGGCGGCGCUCCACGCCGUGCGCGCCGUGGCCAUCGGCCCCUUCCACCGCGCCGACCGCGGCCUCGCCUUCCCCGACGACGCCAAGCUCCCCUUCAUGCGCUACCUCCAGGACCAGUGCGGCCUCUCCGCCGACCGCUUCGUCGCCGCGCUCUCCGCCGACCGCUUCCGCCUCCGCGACGAGUUCGCCGAUGACGACGACGAAGACGACGAUGGCGGGUUGUUGUUGGACGACGAGGAGAAGUUCCUGCAGAUGCUGCUUCUGGACAGCUGCUUCCUGCUGGUGGUGGCCAUGAUGCUGAGCAAGACGGGGGCCGGGGACGACGCCGACAGCACGGCCCGUGCGGCGUCCAUCAACAGGGAGUACUUCAUCCUGCACAUGGCCGUGGCGCAGCACGCGGAGGCCAUCAAGCUCGACAUGCUCGUCCUCGAGAACCAGAUCCCCUUCGCGGCGCUCAAGCUGCUCGUCGCCUCCUGCGACAGGCUCUCCUUCAAGCUCCGCCACUGCGUCGAGGAGCUCGUCAUCGGCUGCUUCGACGACUUCUGCCCCAAGCCGCGCCACCGCGCCUGCCACAAGGGCGACGCCGGCGCCGCGGAGUUCCACCACGUCCUUCACCUCUUCCACUGGUCCCGCGUGCCCACGAGCAAAUACAGCAUCCUCUCCACCCCGCUGAAGCUGCUCAAGAUCAAGAAGGAGUCGGAGCGGCUCUUCCCCUGCUCCAUGGAGCUGCGCCACUCGGCCGUCUGGUUCCAGAACAGGAACGCGGCGGAGACGGAGGAGGACCUCGGGGACAUGGACAUGUCCUUCUGGAGCCGGCGGGCGAGCCCCGUGGCGGUGAUGAGCAUCCCGUGCUUCCACGUCCACGAGUACACGGCCGCCGUGCUCCACAACCUGCUGGCCUUCGAGAUGCGCUUCCACUGGGCGCACGGCGCCUGCGUCACCACGCACGUGGCCAGGAUGGAAGGGCUCGUGCGCUGCGCCACCGACGCCGCCUUCCUCCGCCGGCGAGGGGUCAUCUCGGCUCCCCGGAUGACGGACGCCGAGCUCGUCUGCUUCUUCAGGGAGCUCGGGGAGCAGACAGUCGGCACCAGGCUCCCCGACGAGUACGGGGAGAUGCUCGACGCCGUGGCGUGCCACCGGAGGCGGAAGGUCAGCUGGUGGUGCGGGGGAUUCGUGCUCCACUUCUUCCCUUCGCCGUGGGUCGCCGUCUCGCUCCUCGCCGCGGUGGCGCUCAUCUUCGUGCCUUCCAUGUUGCAGACGGUUUAUACCAUGCUCGGCACUAUCAGAAGCACUAGUUAGCAGUUACUGAUGGUCUUUUUUGAUCGGUUUUGUAAUUUCCGUAGUUCGGUCUCGUUAGUCGUUACCCACUACGAUAAAUUUACCCAUGAGUCUUUUCUUUUACAGGACUUACCCAUGAGUCAGGCAUGGGACAGAAAGAAAAUAAAAUGUCAAAAUGAUACAGCAUAUAUCAACAGUGUAAUAAGCUUCCCUCAAAAAGAAAAAAACGGUGUAAUAAGCAAAAACUGACCCGGACAGAAAUAAUCCAAGCUGGCCCUUUCAUCUGGCGCUACUCAGCCCAAGCCUGUCCUACAAUAUUCAGCCCAACACUAGGCCCUUUCCUGCUGCCAACCGCCAACACCUCUUGUGGGCCUGUCUCAAAAUAAAACACCUCUCGUGGGCCUGCUUAAUUCGCUUACUGCGAGAUGAUUGGCCACCUGCAUAUCGCCGUUGUGGACUUGUGAACAGAAUUUUUCUUCCUCCUCGCGGCCUUCUUAAAGCCUGCGCGUAGUACUCACUUGUCCCAUAAUAUGAGGCACGCACGUAUCAUUAGAUUUUUAAUUUAGCUAAUUAAAUAUAAAUUAAUUAAUAAAAAAAUUUAUAUCAUUAGAAAGUUUUUUGAUAACGAUUCUAAUGAUGUAUUUUUUUAAAAAAUAUACAUAUUUAAUUAAUUAAAUUGAAAAUGUAGCGCCGGGAACGAAGCAAGUACCUUUUUUCCAUCGCUUGUCACUGCUUUAUGAUGGAAGGAUUUUCUUACUCGACAGUCAGACACUUGAGAGGACUCGUAGCUUUCGGUGGACUCUCCGAGGCGAGAAAAGAGGUCCUGCACGGCUGCACCGUGCCGCCCAUGCAUGCAUAUCCAGCCGGACAGCCUCAGUCUUCACCCCGUUCCCGUUCAACGUGGGCAUCAUUUCCGUCCCAGUUUCACGGACAAACAACCUAGUGACAGCGAAUUUUAACCCCUCUGUGUUACACUCAGCAAGUCCAAUCCGGGGCCCGUCCAAACAGUGCACGCCAUUCUCAGAGGAACAUCUCGGCCUUGGAACAGGGACUCGUUGGAUCCAUUCAGGACUCGGGCACCAGAUGCACCACAAUUUUUCGCAGAUCAUAUCAUCCAUCCACCCAAACAUGUGCUAGUCAGCCAGCAGCGGUAGAAAUGAAGGACAGGGGAGGAGAGAGUCUAGUGCCUCUUGUCACCUGGCAGCGUGCCGCUGUGGCUGCAGAGCGCGACACCCUUUUGCCCGUGAGCUUUAUCCGCCACCUCACCACACGUACGCUCCUCCACCCAAGCUCGCCACGUCGUUCAUCUGAUUGCGGCGCUAAUCGCCCGAGAAUCCGAUGCCUCGCACGAGAACGUACCAUAACGGCCUACCACGUUGCGGGCUGUGCGUACGGAGAUCGUUGCUGCCUAAUCCGAGACAUGUAAAGCCCUUCGACAGGAUGCGUUAAGUUUUCUCGUCUUUCUUUACAAAAAAAGUUAGAUCAGCAAAGAUAUGUAGAGAAAUCUGAUAAACGCGUACUAGUACAUAUCGGCGCAUGACUAGAUGGAUUCCUUCUUCUCCCGGUUGAUCUGUUCAUAUUCUCGGUCGAUAUUUUUGCUUUUGCCCGUUCGCUAGGAGAUCAGCUAGAUCGAGUCGAAUCUAGCUAGCUGACCGAUAACCAGCUAGGGACAGAAGAAUCUUGCAAGUAUAAUAGGUCUGGAUAACUGGAUAGCCCUAAUGUGUAGGUGCACGCGCUCGUUGGAACACGUGCGUGCGUGGAGUCGAUAGUGGAUUAAGAUCAGGCCUGGGAUUCUUCGGCGGGAAGACGUGAUCUACGAUCAUAUCUCAUAUGAGUAAAUUGCACGCAACUACCGCAUUCUGUGACUUAUUACGAAAACCACCGGUUUUGUUAAUUUUCACACAGAACAACCGCAAUUCAGUAAAGUUGUUGCACAUAGUACUGAUUCAGACGAUUGCGGCGUAUAAGCGCGUUUCUGAACGACCGGCCCCACAUAUCAGGUUGACCGGGCCGAGCCGGCGUUACACGGUCCGUUAGCCAGGUCUGUCCAAGCCUUUCUCCUCUCCCAUUGCAUUGCCUGGCUCCGCGCUGCCGCCGUCGCUGUUCCGCCGACGCGUGCCUUCACUGCAUCCCCCCCUCCGUGCGUCGCUGCUUGCGUGCCUGGCUCCGCGCUGCCGCCGCAGCUGCCCGCGGCCGCACGCGCCACCUUUGCUCCGUCGUCGGGAGCGCCUGGCUCAGCGUGCCGCCGUGCCGCUCCGUGCCGCCGCCGCCGCCUGCAGCCGCUCGCGCCGCCCCUGUCUGUCGCCGCUCCUGCCUGCAGCUGCGCGCACCGCCCCGCUCCGCCAACGCUUGCCAACCUCGCCGUCGGGCUUCCUCUGCGCUUGGCACGGUCAUGCUCGAGACUGGAUAAUUCCUAUAUGCAUACAUACCUCGCGAUCCCCUCCCUCUCUCCGCCAACGCUUCAUAGCACGCCAAGUUAGUUUCCCUCCGCCGAGACGGGAGAAGGGAAUCAUCGAUUUGAUUUAAUUCGGCCAUGGGGAACGCGUCGUCGCUGCUGACGCAGUACGCAUCGAGGAGCCGAGGAGGUGCAGGAGCACUGCAGCUACCUAUGUAUGUGAGGAGACAAUACAAUCUCGAAUUCCUUCUUUCGGUGUUCUCAUUCUCACGGUUCAAUUUGUAUGGCUGCUCUAAUUCGUGAUUGAUCGGAGUUCUAAUCAAUCAAUCGACAAUUUUGAUGUUUGCUCCUUUUGUUCUAGUCUCGCAGCAGUUGAUCGUGGCACUGUAUGAGCGCUUCUGCCAUCUUGACCGCCGCGCCAAGGUCUUCGUCUCCGAGGAUGAGUUCCUCUCCGUCCCGGAGUUCUUCACCAACCCACUCUGCGGCUACCAGCACAUCGCCUUGGAACGGAGCCGCCCCUGCUUCCCGACUUGCGCGUGCGCGCUGACACGUAGAAGCGGAAGGAGGGAGCAACCAGUCGGAUCCGUUGCCGAAGGCGUCCAGCGACGACGACGUGCGGCGGCCGGAGAAGAAAUCUGGUGCGGGUGAGAAUCGAAACGGGGAAGCUCCAGCGAGAUAUUGAUGCGGGCUUGCGGCAACGCGGAGCUAGGCAACGAAGUGGGAGAGGAGAAAGGCUUGGACAGACCUGGCUAACAGACCGCGUAACGCCGGCUCGGACCGGUCAAACUGAUAUGUGGGCCUGGUCGGUCAGAAGCACGCUUAUACGCCGCAAUCGUCUGAAUCAGUGCAAUGUGCAACAACUUCACUGAAUUGCGGUGGUUCUGCACGAAAAUUAGCAAAACCGGUGGUUUUCGUAAUAAGUCACUGAAAUGUGGUGGUUCUGUCCAAUUUAUCAAUCGAAAAGUCACUGAAAUGUGGUAGUUCAUAUCUAUCAAUCGAAAAGAGGAGAGAAUAUAUGCAGAUUACAAAAGGCCGAAAGGGGUACGUAAUAUUGAAAAGAACUGAUCGGUGAGAUCGCCCUCCUGAUCGACUCGUGAUAUGCUAGCAUAUACAAUCGCUCAAAAAUAAAAAUGCUAGCAUAUACUCGUACAACAAUAUACGAAUCCAUUAUUGGUAAAUAAACAUACAGGGGGCGCCGGCGAUCGACACGAGCGUGAGGGUACACUGGCCGUGAUGUGAAGCUAGACGCAGGGGAAUCUUUCUGUCGAGGUCGGCAGGAGCAGAAUAGUGCAAGUGCUGCCGCCUCGCCGCCCAUAGACAGUGCCACGUCAAUAUGCACUCAAUGCCCCAGAAUGGGAUCGGUUCGCGUAAUACUUAUCAGAGAAAAGUAUUUUUUGGUCCUCUACUCGUUGGAAAGUUUGCUUUUUGUCUAAAAAAACAUUUCGUACUUAUUUCGUGUUUUCAUUUUCAAAACCGGACACUUUUAGUCACUCAGUCUAUCAAAAGUGGUUUUUCUAACCACGUGUCUGGUUUUCGUAUAGUUUUUCAUUUAUUUUUUAUUUCAAUGAAGAUAUGGACGAUGCAGAUGGAGGAGAAGUACAACCAGUGCCUGUACGAGAUCCAGAGCAUGACGACAGCUAAUUUCAACAGCCUCGGCGGUAUCGGGUAUAUGAAAGUUGAGCACUCGAAGGGUCGUUCCCUCGUCAGUUAGCCCCCGAGUUCCUGUUCGAGGCGUAGGCUCGGGUAGGGACUAAAGAGUUUUUAUAUAUCAAGCUGAUUGACUCGAAUGUUCGUCAAGCCCGAACUUCGAGAAUUCUUAGCCUAUGACUCGGUAACCACAUGAUACUUCUGCGAAUUGUACUGAUGUUGUGUGAGAUGGUUGCAUAACACGCUUGGAAUACUUGAUCGGUCGAGUCCAGUUAAUUGCACCGAGGCAAAAACUUUGUUCGCAUACAUCAACACUCGAGUCCCCAAGCUCGAGCCUGGAUAACUGGCGGUGUUCAAGUCAAACCUGCCGAGGGCUUUACAGACUCGAAAUCCUGGACUGUGGGGCGAUCAACCAACGCGUCCGUUGGGAUCUUUUCUUCAUGCAAGCGCAUGGAUGAUCUGGAAUUGCCGGAAGGUGCUGAUUUCCAGGCCCGACGAAAAACUAUCGGGUCUUACCUUCACGCCAUGGACUUGGCUUCGGGUGUGUUUCGUAGUCUGUGCGACCCGGAUAGUACUGUCGAGUGCCCGUAUGUCGGGUACACUUCGAGUUCCUGUGUCGUCGGGUGGCAAACCCGAGCUUUCCAGAGUUUGAUAUGACGUCUUUGCUGCCGCUCUGAUUAAAGAAAUGGUCUGAGCAGUCAAUGGGACGUACCUUAUGCUUUAUGAACGGACUGAAUUGAGUACUGUUGAGACGGUCAGUUUGAUUUGGCCAUACGACGUGCGCGAGAAUUUAGGCGCAAUGAUAGCUGUCAUGGGUUCCUGAACCGGUCGAAGGGGAAACGGAUCAUUAAUGCUGGGACCACGCAUUAUACAUGGAUGCGAAACGCGUGCCAUCAUUCUGAAUCGUGCGGCGGUGAUUCCGCCCUUUCUUGCACUAUCAAUCUUCUUCUUCCUGCCUCAUUUCACCCCCUUGUCUUCUGCAUUCAAUCCCGGCUUCCUUCUGCGCUCAGCUCCUUUGCUCCAGCCCAACUUCCCCUCCGUCAUUCUCGCUCCACCCCUCGUUCCUUACUGCCAUUGCGCGUUUGCUGCCAUGGGCAGGAAGAAAAACUCCGCUGCCGUCGGUGCCAGGCUGCUGCCGACAGUAGGAAGACAUCUCGCGAUGCCCCCCCCCCUGCCAUGGACAAGAAAUCCAAGAAAACUGCUGACGCCGCGCUUGGCGGUGACAAGAGGAUUGGGGAAUGGAAGCGCUCCGGGAUCUUGGCGCGCCACUUCUCAGUGAUGCGGAAGCAUGGGCUGAUUCCAGGAGAGGAUUCCGGCAAAGUUUGCGUCCUAGGCAAUGAGGUAACUCCCCGUCCCAGGCCUGGGGAGCGAGUUAUGUUCUAUGAUUUUGUUAUCCGUGGCCUCUCUCUCCCAGUCCACUUCUUCUUCCAAGCGCUGCUGCUGGCGUACGGGCUUCAGAUGCAUGAUCUGACUCCUAAUAGCUAUCUGCACAUUGCGUGUUUCAUCACGCUCUGUGAGUGCUAUUUGGGCGUGAAACCCCACUGGGGUCUGUGGAAGAAGCUGUUCAUCAUUAAGCGGCAGGGUAAAGGCGACUAGAUCUAUCAGACCGGCGGCACCAACAUCCAGGUUCGUGGAGAUGUUUAGUAUUUCUCCCUUCAUCAGAUCGAGUCGGUACAGCAGUGGAGGAGUCGGUGAUUUUACCUCCAGGAUGAACCAGUCGACGGCAAGGAUUUCAACCUGGCCGAGUUCUCCCCUACUGCUCAGGUGAGGAAACUGAAGUCUUGGAAUCAUGAGUUGAUAGCCGAAGAAGAUGCAGAGGCUAUUGUUCUAUUAAAACAGGUAGCCGAGCUUCAGCAGACUCCCGAGAAAGAAGUGAGUAGUCUGCAGCUUAUUGCUCUAUUUAUGAAGAGGCGGAUUCAGCCGAUCCAAGCUCGAGUUCACUCUGUGUGGGAGUACUCGGGGCCGACAGAUUCCACUCGAGUUUGUGCACAAGAGCUGUCGGACGAGGAUCUUCUAACCCGAGUUAGGGUGGUUACUCGAAAGGAGAUCACCUUGGAAGAUUUGGAGUCGCCUCUUCCCCCCUACGGACCCGAUCAAUCGCGCGAAGAGGUGAUUUUUAAUUGCUCACUCGCCACUUAUUACUCUGCAAUUUCCAUGUUAGUCUUCAUCGAAAGGUGUUGCUCCAGGGCCAUCAAGAGCUUAUGAGCCAGCCUUCACUGGACGAAGAAGUGCCAGUCGGCGACGACGAACUGGUUGACUGUUCUAACUCCGACGCCCUUUACGAAGAUGACGUGGAUGAGGACGAAGACGACCAUCAAUCCCGAAAGCGUGGUCGGUCGAGUGAAGCGGAGCAGUCGACUGAAGAUUCUUAUCAGCACGAGGUGCACGAAGAGUUGAUUACUUCGAGUGCCACGGCCGCUUCCGACGAGCCGAAGCUCCAGUCGCCAUCUCCGUCGGCUCCCCUAACCAAGAAAGCCAAAGUCGCUGCCAAGCCGAAAGGAUGUCUUCGCAUCUUUGACGUUUCGUCGAGUAGCUCCUCCAGGUACGCUUUGUUGAAAAACCCAUCUCUUUUGUUUUGUUGCUGACUUUUGUCUUCUGGGCUGACGUGUACCACGGCCAAGAACUCUCGUGCCGUUUCUCCAGCUCGGAGUUCUACAAAGCCAAUUGCGUCUCUGGCUCGGUGCGAGGUGCAGGAUUCUCCACUAGCGAGGAACUCGCCAACAGGGCUUCCUGAGACUCCGCUAGCUUGAACGAUCAUGCAGCCGUCGACUUCUGUGUCUCAGUUGCGCAUUGGGUCGCUGGCGCUUGAAAACCAUGUAAGUGUUCUCUCGAUGGGAGUGUUGAGUGAAAAUUUUCUGCUAAGUGUUUUUCACUCGGGCUUCUGUCUAUUGCAGCCUUUUGUCGAAAAGCUGGUGGAUCUUGGCGACCGCUAUCUGAUUUUAGAAGAGGAGAACUGGCAACUACGCCAGGAGCUGGACCAGGCGAAAGAAGCCGCUGUGCACGCCAAUGGUAUCGAUCUGUGUUCCUUAGCCGGAUUUAACCUUCUCCAUACUGUUGCAUGGACUAUUGCCUGUUAACUAUUUCUGCACUUGUAGGUUUGACCGAACAAGCCAACCGACUACGCAAGUUGGUGGUUGGCAAUAGUCAGGAGUGGCGGUCGAAGGAUGAGCAACUAGUCGCCGAUUCUGCCAAGGAGUUGGCGGCUACUCGUGCCGAGGUGGACGCAGCUGUCAAGCUGUCCAAAUUGGAGGCACAGGACAGUCUUGCACUCGAGAGGAAAGAAAUUGCCUCUCGAGAUGACAAAUUGCCGGACACGGAGUCGCAACAGCCGUAGAGGUGGUUGCAUGUGCCGAUCACCUUCUGCGCUGACGAUCACCCAGCGUGACAGCUAGGUUCAGGGGUAAUACCCUUCGUCGUCUCACUAAUCAUCGGCAAUAUGACGAUGACCAAGGUACUGGUGGACAACGGAGCGGGGCUUAACCUCCUGUCCGCCAGGCUAGUGGAGAAACUCCAGUUCCGGUGGAGCAGCUGAAGCCCACCGACCCGUUCCGGGGGGUGAAUCCCGGGAUCGUGCGCCCUCUGAGGCGCAUCACGCUGCCGGUAACCUUCGGGUCCCGGAAAGCGUUCAGGACCGAGCACAUAGUGUUCGACGUGGCACACACCCCGUUGCGCUACAACGGGAUCCUUGGUCGGCCAGCGCUGAUCAAGUUCACGGCGGCUACGCAUUGCGCCUAUGACAUGAUGAAGAUGCCGUCCGUAUAUGGAGUUCUCUCCAUCAGGUGCGACCUCAAGGACGCGGCCUGGUGCGUCGGUGAGGUCGUCAGGGCCGCCGCCGCAGCCGACGCCAGCGGCGAAGAUGUUGCCGAAGACGACAGCUCGCCGGGCGAUGCCCCGGCAACUAAGAAGGCCCGCGCUACCCCACAAGAGCUUGCCGGGGGAAGUGCAGGCUCGAGCUCGUGCCCCGGAAGGGCCAGAAGCUCCGGGAGGAGGCCGCCAAGGUGAAGAAGCUGCCCCUCCAAGCCGGCAACAAGGAACGCACCGUUACCGUCGGUGCGAGUCUUACUGCCGAAUAGGAAAGCGCCCUCAUCACUUUCCUCCGAGAGAACGCCGACGUGUUCGCUUGGGAGCCGUCGGAUCUUCCUGGAGUCCCUAGGGAGGUGAUUCAGCAUCAGCUUGCGGUGCGCCCGGACGCCCGCCCCGUCAAGCAGAAGAUUCGUCGGCAAGCGCAAGAGUGUAAAGAUUUCAUCAAGCGGGAGGUGGACAAGCUCAAGGCUGCCGGGGCUAUCAGGGAAGUUCUGUACCCCACUUGUUUAGCUAACCCUCUAGUAGUACUUAAAGCAGGAACAAGCUUCGCAUGUGCGUAGAUUUUACUGAUCUUAAACGUGCAUGUCCCAAGGAUCCCUUCCCUGUACCCCGCAUCGAUCAAAUAGUUGAUUCUACCGCUGGGUGUGACUUGCUGAGUUUUCUAGAUGCUUUUUCCGGCUACCAUCAAAUUAAGAUGGCAGUCGAAGACGAGGAAAAAAUAGCGUUCAUCACCCCGGUUGGCUGCUAUUGUUAUACAUGCAUGCCUUUCGGGUUGAAGAACGCGGGCUCAACAUUUUAGCGCGCGCUGCGUGAAUGUUUGGGACCCCAGCUAGGCUGCAACGCGGAGGCCUACAUGGACGACAUCGUCAUCAAAUUGAAGCGCAGGGACUCCAUGAUUGAUGACCUGCGGGAAACGUUUGAUAACCUCCGCAGGAUCAAGCUCAAGCUGAACCCUGACAAGUGCACCUUCGGUGUGGACUUGGGUCAACUUCUGGGUUUCUUGGUUUCACAGAGGGGGAUACAAGCUAACCCAAGCAAGAUAGAAGCCAUCGAGAAGAUGGAGGCUCCCCGCAAGGUGAAGGAUGUCCAACGCCUCAACGGCUGCGUUGCCGCGUUGGGCCGCUUCAUCUCAAGGCUGGGCGAACGCGCCCUGCCUUUCUUCAAGGUGAUGAAGAAGAAGGGUCCGGUUGACUGCACUCCCGAGGCCGAAGCGGCGUUCCGGGAACUCAAACAGUACCUGAGGUCGCCGCCCAUCCUCGUCACCCCCAGGCCGGGCGAACCGCUGCUUCUCUACCUAGCGGCGAUUGACCAGGUGGUCAGCUCGGUGCUGGUUGCCGAGAGGGCGGAAGAUGUUCCAGGGACUGAGGCUGCGGGGCAGGGGGCUGAGCGGCCCCCAGCAACCGCCUCGGACCCAGGGACAACCCCCGAGCCGGCAGCUCCUGCACCGCGUAAGCGAUUAGUGCAGCACCCGGUGUACUUCGUCAGCACGGUGCUGCGCGACGCACGAACGAGGUACCCGCAAGUGCAGAAGCUCCUCUUGGGGAUUCUCCUUGCGUCCGCAAGCUGCGCCAUUACUUCCAGGCGCACCGCGUCACGGUGGUGUCGGGGUUUUGCCUUGAGCGAGCCCUCACCAACCGUGAAGCCACCGGGAGGGUGGCCGAAUGGAGGAUGGAGCUAUCAGAGUUUGACCUCCACUUCACCAACUCCAAGAGCGUCAAGAGUGCGGCUCUGGUGGACUUCGUCGCCGAGUGGACGUCGACGAACGCCGAAGAGGAGGAGCUGGAGACCAGCCUACCUGGUAAGCUGGACGAAGGCCACUGGGUCCUCUACUUCGACGGUGCGUUCAGUCUCCAAGGAGCUGGCGCCGGGGUCGUCAUCGAGUCACCGACAGGGGACCAGUUGAGGUUCGCUGUUCAACUCGAUUUCCCGAACUCCACCAACAACACGGCGGAGUACGAGGGCUUGCUCGCUGGGUUACGGGCAGCAAUCGCCCUCGACAUCAAGCGCCUGAUUGUUCGCGGGGACUCCCAGCUCGUGAUCAACCAGGUGAACAAGGACUACGACUGCCCGCAGAUGGCGCCGUACGUGGAGGAAGCCUGCAAGCUAGAACGCAAGUUCAAGGGUUUGCGGUUCUAGCACGUCAAGCGGAAGGAUAACUUCGCUGUUGACGAGCUGGCCAAGAUGGGAGCAGAGUGCCGGAAGCCCCCGGCGGGGGUGUUCUGCUAGAAGCAAGCGGCUCCUUCAGUUGACCCCGAGCCGGUCGUCGGGGACACCCCUCCGGCGACCGAAGGAACCCCCGCAACAGCAGGGGUCCAUGCCGCUGAUGUAGCGGCAUGCGUAGGCAGGGAGACCCCUCCCUGGGCGAUGGAAAUCGCCCGCUACCUGAAGGAGGGGGCCCUUCCGGAGGAUGAUGUCGCCGCAGAACGAGUGGCCCGGCUAGCCAAGAUGUACGCCGUGGUGGACGGGAACCUCUACCGCGGGCGUGCAAAUGGAGUCAAGCUCAUCUGCAUGCCGCAAGACGAAGGGCGCGCACUGCUGGAUGAGAUACACCGAGGGACAUGCUCCCACCAUGUGGCCUCCCGGACGCUGGCUGGCAAGGCGUUUCGGCACGGUUUCCACUGGCCCUUGACCCUGGCCGACACGGAGCAGUUGGUGAAGACGUGCGAAGUAUGCCAGUUCCACUCGAAGAAGAGCAACCAGCCGGCACAGGCCCUACACGUCAUCCCCUCCUCGUGGCCGUUCGCGGUCUGGGGGCUCGAUAUCGUCAGCAAGCUACCGAGAGCAGUUGGUGGUUAUGAAUAUUUGUUCGUGGCCAUCGACAAGUUCUCCAAAUGGGUGGAAGUGGAACUAGUGCGGAAGGUGACCGCCUAGGCGGCCAUCAAGUUUUUUAAAAGCAUGGUGUGCCGGUUGGUGUGCCUAACGGCAUCAUCACCGACAACGUCACGCAGUUCACGAGCGCAGUGUUCCAGGCUUAUUGUGAGGGCAUGGGCACCAAGUUGCACUUCGCGUCCGUUUCUCAUCCGAGGAGUAACGGGCAGGCGGAGCGAGCCAACGCAGAAGUGCUGCAGGAGCUGAAGACGAGAACCUUUGACAAGCUUAAAGGCCACGGGAAACACUGGGUUGAAAAACUCCAGCCCGUGCUGUGGUCAAUCAGGACCACACCUAGUCGGGCAACGGGCGAAACUCCUUUCGCCCUUGUCUAUGGGGUAGAAGCGGUGCUGCCCCUCGAGCUCAAGCACGGAUCUCCCCGAGUACGCGCGUACGACAACACCAGCCAACACGAGCAAAGGGUGGAUGAUCUAAACUUCAUCGAAGAGCUUCGAUGCCGGGCUGCUGUGCGAGCCGCGCGCUACCAGCAGGGACUCCGUCGUUAUCACGACAGACGAGUCCGUCCCCGGGGCCUCGAGAAUGGAGACCUUGUCCUGCGCCGGAUACAAGGAACGAAGGCCGGGAACAAGUUGACUCCGAAAUGGGAGGGCCCCUUCCGGGUAGUGCAGGUGACCAGACCGGGGGCUGUCCGGCUGGAAACCGAAGAUGGCUUGCCACCCUGGCAAGGGUGCCGAGGUCAGUGUUGGGGAAGGCAGCCGAGGACGACGAAGCCCCCGCUGCCAUUGUAGGGCUGUGCGGGGGGUCGUCUAAUUGCUCCGGGGGAUCCUGUCGUCCGUCCCCGGCAGCCUCCCCUUCACCCGCGCCCGGGGACCCCGGGGCUGGAGAAGCCCCCGUGCCCCCGACAGGAGCCGUUCCCUGCUGGGCGGCAGGCGAAUCCGCGCCAGCCGCGUCUACGGCUGCUGGCGCGUCACCAAGCGCCGUACCGGUGGUGACGGUGGCCACCGCUGCCGCCGUGGCUGGCGCCCCGUGAUCUCGACAUCAGGGUCGAGGUCAACCAUGGUUGGCUCCGCCCCCGAUGAGGGGGCGUUUGGGCCUGCAGCAACAAGGAGUGUGAGGAUUGACAAGUAAAAUGGUUAUCGGAAGCGGACAAGGGUAGCUGGGGUGGUUACCUUGCAAGGUAGAUGGACUUGCGAGGGGGGCUUCCCCCGCCUCACCCGCGCCGGCGGGAGCCUCCGAGAGGCUUGCCGCGGGUGAGCAGCCGCUUGCUGAAAAAAAACCUACGUUUGUAUGGUUAAUUGACAACUGAAAAAUGCAGCAAAGGAGGAGCGAAGGAGCCGUACCAGUCGGCGGCCCGUGAAGCGAUCCUUCCCCUUACUAGGGUUCGAUCUCUGUGUUUACUGUGCUAGUCCCUGGAUCGACUCACUAGCACACACAGUUUCAUGAUGAAAUAAACAGAAACAAAGGUCUAAGUACUUUAUUACAUCGCAUCAUCCAGAAUUUAAAUAGUACUUACAACCUCGCAUGACCUUUUGGGCCAGCAUAAAACAAAUAAUGUUUAAGUGAAAUAAAAGAGAUCUAAUCUACACCGUUGGAGAUGGAUGGACGGACGAGAUUGAACGGGGGGGCUCACCGGCGAGGCUAGGGUUCCGGCGACGGAAUCUAGCGGCGGCGCGGCUCGGGCGUGGAGGCGGGCGGCGUACGGGUGGACCUCGGGCGUCGGGGAGGACGCGGGUGCGCGCGGCACGGCACGGCGGUGCUGGUGGCGCGGUCGGCGCGGGCUCGGGCGGUCGGAGUCCUCGCCUAGGUCGAAGACGAGUGGGUGGCGCGGGCAGCGGACUCCGGCGAGCUCGGGCGGUGGUCGGCGGGGUGCUGCAGCGCGCAAAACGAAGGGAAAAGCGCGUCAUAAGAGGCGCGAGAGAGAGGGAAGGAGAGGGAGCGCGGUGGCGUCGAAGAUGGUUCACCGGCGUGGUCGGGCGCGGCGCGAGAGUGGCGGUGGCGGCGGAGCUCUUCGGCGAAGAAUCGGGGCGGCCUGGCGGCGUGAUAGCGAGGGGGAGCAGAGGGGAAGAAGAGAGGGGGUCGCGGGCUUCAAAAGGACGGGAGCGGCUCGGUUUGGGAAGGUCGGGAGGGGCGGAUCCCGGUGAUGGCGCGCGGCGGUCACGCGCGGGGAGGGCGGCGCGAUUUCGGGCGCUUGCCCGAGGUAGGGGACGACCCCGAUAGGUGGGCCCCACCUGUCGGUGGCUCGGGCGCGCGCGCGCGGGCGGCUCGGUCGGUCGGGCUGGUUCGGCCGGUUCGGCCCAAGCGGUCGGACCGUUUUUUUUUCUUUUCUUUUUCCCUUUUCCUAUUUCUUUGAUAACUUUUGAUUUUGAACUCAAAAUUGGUCCAAAUAAAUCCCAAAAAAUUUAUAAAAUCAUGUUCCACCAUGAUACAACUUUUGGGAGUAUUUUCCCCUCAAAAUAAAAUAUAUAAAAAUACAUUUGCCCUAUAAAUGCCUUUAGGGCUAUAUGUCCAUUUAAAUAAAAUACUUUUUCAACUCCAAAUAAUUAACCAAAAAUUAUGGGAUGGCUUAUAUGUGCAUUAAGCCCCUUUUAUACAUAAAACCUAUUGGUUUGAAAAUCCAAAGCUCAUAUGGGUGUAAACCCUAGGGUUUCAAAUGAAAUAAAGAAUCUUUCCAAAGCUUUUUGAUAUUCAAAAUUUGAAUUCGAAAAUGCAAUUGUGGCAUGAUGCUCAUGGAUGCAAUGCACAUGUAAAAGUUUGAAUCUUGCAGAACUUGAUAGUCUUGGAUCGGGUCUGUCUCUUAGCUGCAUCCAAGAUCCUGACCGGUUUCUCCUCAUAGGUGAGGUCACUCUGUAACUAGACUUCCUCGAGUGGAAUUGUAUCCCUCAGGGGUGUGUGGGCCAUCUCGGGGUGACACUUCUUCAGUUGCGAUACAUGGAAGACAUGGUGGACAUUGGACAGUGCUUCCGGUAAAUCCAACUUGUAAGCCACUUCUCCUUGGCGGGACAAGAUCUUGAAAGGCCCAAUGAAACGGGGUGCUAGUUUUCCUUUUAUACCAAAUCUCUUUACCCCGCGUAUCGGUGAAACUCUGAGAUACGCUCUAGCUUCGGCUUCGUAGAUGACUUCCCUACGUUUAGAAUCCGCGUAGCUUUUCUGCCUUGACUGGGCUACUUUCAACCGGUCUCGGAUGAGUCUAACCUUUUCUUCGGCAUCCUUUAUCAUAUCUGGGCCGAAUAGACUACGAUCUCCUACACCAUCCCAUAACAAUGGUGUUCGGCACUUCCUUCCAUACAAAGCUUCAAACGGUGACAUUCCAAUGCUGGCUUGGAAGCUGUUGUUGUAUGAGAAUUCUCCAUAUGGCAGAUUGUCAUCCCAACUGAAUCCAUAGUCUAGAGCGCAGGCUCUCAACAUAUUCUCAAGGAUCUGAUUAACCCUCUCGGUUUGUCCAUCCGUCUGCGGAUGAAAUGCUGUACUGAAUUCCAGUCUCGUUCCUAGAGACUCAUGUAGUUGUCCCCAAAAUCUUGAGGUAAAUUGGGUACCUCUGUCUGAAACUAUUUCUUUGGGCACUCCGUGUAAACACACUAUUUUGGAUAUGUAGCAUUUUGCUAACUGUGCGCUAGUGUAAGUAGUCUUCACAGGUAUAAAAUGGGCAACCUUGGUCAAACGGUCAACCACUACCCAAAUGGAAUCAUAUCCUGAUCUGGUCCUUGGUAACCCGGUGAUAAAAUCCAUGCCUAUUUUAUCCCAUUUCUAAUCCGGUAUAGGCAAUGGUCUCAGCAAUUCUGCUGGCUUUUGGUGUUCUGCCUUAACUCUGCUGCACACAUCACACAAGGCAAUAAACUCUGCUAUGUCACGCUUCAAUCCGGACCACCAAAAUGUUUCCUUGAGGUCCAUGUACAUCUUUGUGUUUCCAGGGUUGAUUGAGUACGGUGAAUCAUGGGCUUCUUGCAAAAUCAACUUUCUGAUUUUCGGAUCUUGCGGUACGCAAAUGCGUUUUCCGAACCAUAUGGUACCCCGGUCGUCCUCACGAAAAUCUUUGGCCUUUCCGUUAAGCAUAUUCUCUUUUAUUUCCUUUAUUUCUGAGUCAUCUUUCUGUGCUUCUCUAAUCUUAUCUAGCAGUGUGGGUUGCACUUCCAAAGUGGCUAAAUAACCUUUCGGUACUAUUUCUAGGCUGAGGUCUUUGAACUGUUCGCACAACUCUGGUGGUAAUUCUCCAGCUGUUAGUCCAUUUAUAUAGCCCUUGCGGCUCAAUGCAUCGGCUACUACAUUAGCCUUGCCUGGAUGGUAUUGUAAAUUCAGGUCAUAAUCUUUUAUCAGUUCUAACCAUCUUCUCUGCCUCAAAUUCAACUCCUUCUGAGUGAAAAUGUACUUUAGACUCUUGUGGUCAGUAAACAGCUCACAAUGCUUUCCCAUCAGAUAGUGCCUCCAAGUCUUCAGGGCGUGCACUACCGAUGUUAACUCCAAGUCAUGAGUGGGAUAGUUGUCUUCGUGGCUCUUUAGUUGCCGCGAAGCGUACGCUACAACUCUUCCUCCUUGCAUUAACACUCCUCCCAAUCCUUGACGUGAGGCGUCACAGUAUACUUGAAAAUCCUCUUGUAGGUCAGGCAAAACAAGGAUGGGUGCAGACACUAGUCUUUUCUUCAAUUCCUGGAAACUUUCUUCACAAAAUUCAUUCCAGGCAAACUUCUUCUCUUUCUUUAAAAGCUCUGUCAUGGGUUUCGCUAUUUUGGAGAAAUUCUCAAUGAAUCUCCGAUAGUAACCAGCAAGUCCAAGGAAGCUGCGGACUUCUCCGACAUUCUUCGGUGCCUCCCAUUCCGUAACUGCUGCAACCUUAGCUGGGUCAACGGCUACUCCCGCUCCUGACACUAUGUGUCCAAGAAAGCUGACUUCUGAUAACCAAAAUUCACACUUGCUGAAUUUGGCGUACAGCUGGUGUGCUCUCAACUUCUCCAAAAUCUUGCGCAGAUGCUGCUCAUGCUCUUCCUUGCUCUUGGAAUAGAUUAGUAUGUCAUCGAUGAAUACUACUACAAACUUAUCCAAGAAUUCCAUGAACACCUUGUUCAUCAUGUUCAUGAAAUAUGCAGGUGCAUUGGUCAAACCGAAUGGCAUCACGGUGUACUCGUACAGUCCAUACCUCGUGGUGAAUGUCGUCUUGGGUAUAUCCAUCUCUCGAAUUUUCAGUUGAAAAUAUCCUGAUCGCAGAUCGAUCUUUGAGAACACACAGGCUCCCUUCGGUUGAUCAAAUAGAUCAUUGAUUAUGGGCAAGGAAUACUUAUUCUUUAUCGUCACCUCAUUUAGUGAACGAUAGUCAAUGCACAUCUUUUGGCUCUUGUCCUCUUUUUCUACAAACAGGACAGGUGCUUCCCAUGGAGAUGAACUGGGGCGGAUGAAACCUUUCGCUAACUUCAGCUAGCUACUUCUUCAAUUCCUUUAAUUCAUCCACAGCCAUCUUAUACGGUCUCUUGGCUAUGGGUCCACUUCCUGGCACUAACUCAAUAAGAAACUCCACGUCACGGUCCGGUGGCAUGCCUGGUAAUUCCUCUGAAAAUACGUCUGGAUAUUCCUUCACUAUUGGUACAUCGUCCAUGCUAGCCCCCUUAAGAGCAUAAAUCUUGGGUUUCUUAAGCUCAUGGGUGGACUUGUACCGGAUGCGUCUCUUGUCUGGGGUUGUGAGUGUGACAUUCCUCUGGGCACAGUCUACUAAUCCUUCAUAUAAGGUCAACCAUUCCAUUCCCAAGAUUAGGUCCAGUCCUCGGGAAUCUAUAAUUAUGAGAUCAGAGGGAAAAUUGUGUCUCCCAAUACUUAGGGGUAGCUGGCGACAGUGUCGGGUUGCUAGUAUUGUUCCACCCGGUGAGUUCACUUUCAUGGGUUUAGCCAUGGUCUUAGAGGGUAAUUUGCCUCUUUCUACUAAUACUGAAAUGAAUGAAUGCGAUGCUCCAGUGUCAAACAGAAAUAGUACUUCAAAAGCAUUAAUGUGGAAGGUGCCAAGUAUGAUACCUGAUUCCUCGGUGAUUUCUUCCACAUCCACGUGAUUCACGUGGCCCUUCUGGAAUGGAUUGGGCUUGUUCCCAGUACCAUCUUGGUUGUCCGGGCAGUUGGUGGCAUAGUGUCCCAUCUUGUGACAGUUGUAGCACUCCACCUUGGUCAUGUCCUUAUUGGCAUUGUGGUUCUGACCAUUGUUGUUCUGGCCAUUGCCGUUGUUCCUGCCAUUCCCAUUGCCAUUGAUGGGCCUUGGGCGAGCGAACUGGUGCUGUUGCUGAUGCUGGUGCUGCUGAUGGUGCCGGUUCACAUUGCCACCCUGAUGGUGGUGUCCUUGGCUUCCUUGGCGGUGGUGGUGACUAUUUCCUCCACUGCGGUGGCUGUUCUGGUUCCCGUUCCAACUCAAGGAGGAACUGCCACUUCCAUCAUAGGAGGUGCGCUGCUUCUGGUGCGGGCCAGUGUGAGAGCCUCCUUGGUGAAAUCUCUUCUUGCGGUUUUCCAACUGAGUGAGCUUACUCUCCAGAAUGAUGGCCUUGUCAAUCAAAGACUGGUAGGUGGGGGUGUAAGCAAUAGCAAGUUGAACUGACAGUUCGUCGUUCAGACCGUCCAAAAACUUCUCCCUGCGCUUGGCAUCAGUGUUCACAUCAUCCGGUGCAUAGCGGGACAGUUGGCUGAAAACAUCUAUAUAUUCUGACACAGAGCGGCUUCCAUGUCGCAGCCUAUGAAAUUCUUUCUUCUUCAGGCUGAGCACUCUCGCAGAGAUGUGGGCGGUGCGAAAGGCUUCCUGGAACAUGUCCCAGGUGACAUCCUCGAUGGGGAUGGUGAUCUGAAAAUUUUCCCACCACGACGCUGCGGGUCCUUCUAGCAGAUAAGCUGCAAACCGCACUUUCUCUUCCUCAGUGCAGUUGAUGGUGACCAAAUUCUUAUUGACUGAACAAAGCCAAUCGUCAGCCAUAAUAGGCUCAGUGGAGCUGAAAAAAGUGGGCAGGCGCAAACGUAGAAAUCUAGUCAGCAUAUGCACUUGGGGUGGGUGGUGCUGCUGGUUGUUGUGGUUCUACUGGUUGUUGUUGUUGUUGUUGUUGUUGGCCAACUGUUGGGUGAUCAUCUGGAAGAAUUAGGUCUGGGCAGCUAAUAGCUGCUGCAUGGUGGCAGCAUUCCCUUCUGCGUCGGCGUUGUUGGUGGGGUUCCGGCGUCUCGGAGGCAUCAGUUUAGGGUAGCAUAGAUGAGGAAACAGAUAGAAUAGAGCUAAGGAUAACUAAACCCCCAAACAAGAUAUAACUUAAGCAUAUAUCAAUCAUCCACUCAUCAAUCAUAAAAGGUUUUGAAAAAAACAUAGCAAAACAAACUUGUUUAUGGUGGGACAUUGCCCAUAAAGAAAAGAGUACAGGGAAAAAAGCAAUCUGCCUACAUUGCCAUACACAUAGAUUGUAUGGUCAAUGACUAACUCGCAACACUGAUAACGAAAAGAAAAGAUAAAUCUGGUAGGCAUCAACAGAACUAGGGGAGUGUGGCUGUCGGUGUGGUCCCGUUCGCCUUCAUCUUGGAGCGGGUGUUUGUAGCAGGGGUGUCCAUCUCGUGGACCUCCUGGGGAUCCUCCUCCUCAGUCGGUUCCUCCUCCUGAGGCUCCAUGUCCUGAUCCUGUGGUGGAGGUGGGACCUGGACAGGCGCCGGUGCUACAGCUGGUGCGGCUACGGCUGCAGCUGCGAUGAAUGCAUGGAACUGCUCGCAGUAGUAGCGAGCCUGGUCCCUCUCAUACUGCAGCUGCUCGAUGGCAUCUCCCAUGUUGAGGACAGUGUUCUCCAACACGGCCUUGUCCUCCAGCCACUGGGUCUUCUCUCCCAUCAGGUUACCAAUCUGUUCCUCAGCUAGGUCGGCCCUGGUCAUCUCGUGCUCGAGGCAAGACUACAAGUCCACGGUGUUUAUCUCCAUGUUCUCGAAGUGGGUCGUCACUGGGGUCGCAUCCUCGUCGUUGGUCGUAGCCACCGCCGACCAUGCAUGAUUCCGCCUCCCAAAGAGGAGGAAGGGGGGAUCCUCGAGGAACUCGUGCCGAUAGUCCCGGCACACCUGUGCGAAGGCGCACUGCAUGGCGAACUGAAGGCCCUGCUCGAAGGUGGGGUAGCGGCUGAUGAAGGUGAUAUCCGGCGUAGCUGGCGCGAUCUCACGCCCCCGGAUCUUCGGCUCGAUCUACCACCGUGGCUGCCAUCCCUCGGGUGCGGCGGUCUCAACUCGGCCUCUGAACCUAGGUGGUGGCAGGUCGAGGAACGCACACAGUACCGCCAAAGGGGCACUGAACAACUGGUCGUCAUCCGUGGAGGGGUAGUAGAUGCGGGUGAACGGCGGUACAUUGCCGAACGGUGUUGGGCUUCACAUCUAUAGAAAAUAAAGAAGGUAGAUAAGGGAGUAUCAGUGACAUGAUUAAAUGGUCGAAUGUAAGUAAAAUAGAAUAAAAGUGAUAGAGUGGGAAUCAAGUGAUGAACAUUAAUAUCAAGGGUGGAAAUGUAAAUAUAAAAUUGGAUGCAUAAUAUUAUGUGAAUAACAUGGCAACAUGAUUAUAAUGGUGUAUGGUGUAAGAAUCAAAUAUGCAUCUGUGGUAUAAUAUAAUAAACAUGCAUAUGUGGUAAUAAGCAUAGUAUUCCGUGUAUAUAUGGGAUAAAACAAUAAACAUGCCAUGCAUAUGCAAGAUAUAAAUGCAAAGAUUUAUAUACGUGUAUAUAUAUAUGUAUAGAUCUGAUAGGGAUAAAAAAUAAUCCUAAGUUUUGGUCUUUGGUCUGUCUUAUUCUAAUCCAAACUAGGGUCACGUUCCUACAGGCAAGACAUUGCUCUGAUACCAUCUGAAGUGAUCCUUCCCCUUACUAGGGUUCGAUCUCUGUGUUUACUGUGCUAGUCCCUGGAUCGACUCACUAGCACGUACAGUUUCAUGAUGAAAUAUACAGAAACAAAGGUCUAAGUAUUUUAUUACAUCGCAUCAUCCAGAAUUUAAAUAGUACUUACCACCUCGCAUGACCUCUUGGGCCAGCAUAAAACAAAUAUUGUUUCAUCAUCCUAAAACAAGGUUUCAAAACUGCAGUGGAAAAAGGGUAGAUCAUAAGGGCCACACUACUCCAAGGUGAGAGCAUGUUGGAAUGUAAGCACAUGACCCACGACAAAACGACGAACCUCACUCAUCGUCGGAUCCACCUGCAUUGUUAAUUGCAGCCACUACGUGGUCAAUACAUUUGAAUGUAUUGGCAAGUUCACCAGAGAUAUAACAGAUCCUAUCAAGUAUAUGUAGUAUUUUGCUAGGUAGAGUUUGGCUAUUUGCAUAAAAGCCUCAUUGUUUAACCCUAUCAUUUUUAAACAAAUAGUGGUAGAAAUACCCAUGCUCCUAUUAACCUAGGCACAUUGAGUAGAAACAUCAAUGUUCCUACCCAGUUCAAUCCAUUCGUUUUAUUAGGAAAUUUGAAUGAGUGAGACCUUCCUUACAGUUCCAAUAUCUAGUUGCUCAUAAUUGUCCGUAACCGGGGACACGGCUAAGUACUUAGUUUGACACUCUCGAGAGGUGGUACACUUACCCACAAGAAAUCGACGUGUUAAUCCCUUGCUGUCCUCAGGGUAGAGUAGCAACGGCAUCGACUACAGGAAUUUUCAGAAAAUAAUCCCCCAGACCACCUGAGGGACGUCCCCCCACCUACACUGCUACAUACCGAUGUCACCUCGGAUCCGGGUUCAUAUUUCUUACAUCCAUCCUGGCAGAGCCCAUAAUACCAUGUGGUUGUACUGGAAGCUACUAAACAUGAAACUAGUCCAGUCUCUGGUUACCCCGGGUGGCAUCCCACAUUGUGACGCAGGCGCUCCCCGAAUCGCACGGGGAGACGACCAUGGACGCUCCCGAAUCGCACGGAGAGACGACUCAGCGGGCCCCAUAGAAAUGGACCUAACGUCACGACAUCCGAAUACUCAAAGCAGCCCACCCAGGACGAUUCAUUGAAUUACUUGUUUUGCCACACACUAGGAAAAUCAUAUUGUUAUUCAAUAGUAUCACAUUGUGAUAAUACCACCCUCGUAUAUUAUCAUAGCAUAGCAUUUUACUACUACGAUGGCGAUUGGUGGUGUGGACAUGGCAAAGGGUAUCCUAUACUACUAGGACAGAUCAUAGCUAGCAUAGAUACAGUAAUAAUCCUAACAAUGCAACUAAUAAAAGCUAGUGCAUAAUAAAAUAAUGGGUAAAUGAUCAAAGUGACCUUGCCUUCAGAGUAGUUCGUAUUCAAACACUCUUCGCAAUCACACAGUUCGCUCUCCGAGAAAACUAUACAAUCAAGCAAACAUACACGUACAUAAACACACCAUACAAGCAAAAGAAUAUGUAUGCCAUGAUGCAAUGCAAAACAUGUGACAUGAGUUUGGUUUAUUUUAUUUGGGUGAUCUACUGAUCUAAGGCCUUGAGAAUUAAGCACAUGCAAUUAGGUUUUUUAAGCAAAAGCAAAGGCUAGGGUUUAAAUCCUAAAAUGAGGUUUUAUUGGCAUCAGCCAAAUAGAUUAAUUCAAAAUAUUUAUUUCUCUGUCCCAUUGGACAGGGGACAAUAAAACAAAAUUUUGGGCACUGGUUUCAUUCAAAAAGGACUUCUAAAUAAAUAGUUGUGAUUUAAAUGGCAUAAAACCCUAAUCUAUAAUUUGAAUGUGAUUCAAAAAUUGAAAUUUGAAUUUGGACAGUGCCAAAAGAUUCUACAUUUCCUAAGGAUUCCAAAACGGUGUGGAUCAUUAAAUUUGGCCAAACAGAUUAAAAGUUAUGAUCAUUUGAAGUUGCAGGGGCUUUUCUGCCAAAGUGCAUUUUAUUAAUUCCGGGGAAUUAAAAUUAAAUUUUCAUUUUAUUUACGCAGUGACACAUGGCGGCUCCUGAUUGGUGUGUACCGGUUCGUUUAAGUUAAAUAAAAGAGAUCUAAUCUACACCGUUGGAGAUGGAUGGACAGACGAGAUUGAACGGGGGGGCUCACCGGCGAGGCUAGGGUUCCGGCGACGGAAUCCGGUGGCGGCGCGGCUCGGGUGUGGAGGCGGGCGGCGUACGGGUGGACCUCGGGCGUCGGGGAGGACGCGGGUGCACGCGGCACGGCACAGCGGUGCUGGUGGCGCGGUCGGCGCGGGCUCGGGCGGUCGGAGUCCUCGCCUAGGUCGAAGACGAGUGGGCGGCGCGGGCGGCAGACUCCGGCGAUCUCGGGCGGUGGUCGGCGGGGUGCUGCAGCACGCAAAACGAAGGGAAAAGCGCGUCAAAAGAUGCGCGAGAGAGAGAGAAGGAGAGGGAGGGCGGUGGCGUCGAAGAUGGUUCACCGGCGUGGUCGGGCGCGGCGCGAGAGUGGCGGCGGCGGCGGAGCUCUUCGGCGAAGAAUCGGAGCGGCCUGGCGGCGUGAUAGCGAGGGGGAGCAGAGGGGAAGAAGAGAGGGGGUCGCAGGCUUUAAAAGGACGCGAGCGGCUCGGUUUGGGAAGGUCGGGAGGGGUGGAUCCCGGUGAUGGCGCGCGGCGGUCACGCGCGGGGACGGCGGCGCGAUUUCGGGCGCUUGCCCGAGGUAGGGGACGACCCCGAUAGGUGGGCCCCACCUGUCGGUGGCUCGGGCGCGCGCGCGCGGGCGGCUCGGUCGGUCGGGCUGGUUCGGCCGGUUCGGGGCCGGUUCGGCCCAAGCGGUCGGACCGGUCCGGUUCACCCUUUUUUUUUCUUUUCUUUUUCCCUUUUCCUAUUUCUUUGAUAACUUUUGAUUUUGAACUCCAAAUUGCUCCAAAUAAAUCCCAAAGAAUUUGUAAAAUCAUGUUCCACCAUGGUAUAACUUUUGGGAGUAUUUUCCCCUCAAAAUAAAAUAUAUAAAAAUAGAUUUGCCCUAUAAAUGCCUUUAGGGCUAUAUGUCCAUUUAAAUAAAAUACUUUUUCAACUCCAAAUAAUUAACCAAAAAUUAUGGGAUGGCUUAUAUGUGCAUUAAGCCCCUUUUAUACAUAAAACCUAUUGGUUUGAAAAUCCAAAGCUCAUAUGGGUGUAAACCCUAGGGUUUAAAAUGAAAUAAAGAAUAUUUCCAAAGCCUUUUGAGAUUCAAAAUUUGAAUUCGAAUAUGCAAUUGUGGCAUGAUGCUCAUGAAUGCAAUGCACAUGUAAAAGUUUGAAAUUUUGGGAUGUUACAUGGCGGCAGCCUCCGCCUCAGGAAUGGAGUAGGAGAGACUGGAGAAGCAGUUGAUGAAGCUCCGCAACGUCUCCCCCGGUUUCUGCACGACCACGUGCAGCUCCGCCAUGGUUCCCGAGCGCAUGUAACCGCCCUGGAACGCAUUCACAAACUGCUCGUGCAGGUUAGCCCAGGAGUCUAUGGACCCGGCGGGCAGGUUGAGCAACCAGGUCCUCGUUGAUCCCUUGAGGACCAUCGGGAACCAGUUGGCCCUGACCUUGUCGUCGACGCCGAUGGCGUGCAUCCCCAACGUGUAGGUCAGGAGAAAAUCCUUGGGGUUCACGGUUCCGUCGUAUGUCCCGAGCGCCGGUGCUCAGAACUUGCGGGGCCAUGUCACCCGGUGCAGCUCGCGAGUAAACACGGCGCAGCCGUCCUCGGCACCCAUGGGAGCAUCCUCCUACUCUUCUGGGCAUUGGGGUUGCCGGGGGAGCCCCCGAGCGCUCUCUUCCCUUUCUGUUAAGUGGCUACUUGCUACUUCUAGACUAAAUCUCUCGGGAUUGCAAUCUACGCUCGAGUCUAACCUUCAGAAAUCGGAACCCCUUGACUGGUGGCGCGGGUCCUUCUUUUAUACUCAAGGGGAUACCAAAGGUGCCACAGUCUGCAUGGGGGACGCGUCCUAGGACACGCGUCGAACAGAGGCCCAAGGCAGCUGCCUUCGCUGCGCUGGCAUGCAUGCACGGUGAGACGCACUAUAGCUAGGGCCACACGUGCCCUAGAUUCACUGUGGGCUACUCACUGCAAGCUACUCACUGUAGGUUGACUAGACGGGUAACCUCCUCCCUAUCGGAGCAUUUAAUGCUCAGCUUGUGCCACACUCCACGCUCUGACCAGCCCUGCACAAAAGGAGCCUGCCGGGCAGCCACGUGGCGUCGAUACUCUUCUUGCUGGGCAUCGGCCCUGUUGUAAACGCCUGCGCCAGGGAACACUCUCCCCGGCAAGUGGGCUUCUCGGGGGGCGUCCUGACGGGGAUCUUCACGCUGUCUUCCGAGGUAACCCCCGCAGCCCGGCUAGUCCUGGUCCACGGCAAACCCCUUCCCAGGCUCCUGGGGGCUGGUGCCUUCCCGGGCAGCCCGCACCGCGCUGCCCAGGGUGCCGUCCUUGCAGGAAGCAAGUGAGGCGACCCACGCGUUGAGCAACGGUGGUACCUCGGGUGCCAUUAGUGCGACUACGGCGUGCCGAAAUCGAUGCUGGUCGCUGGAUCUUUCAGGAUAUAGGCACCGCCUAGGAUUACUUUGGAUAUGAUGUAAGGCCCCUCCCAUGGCGAUGCCAAUUUAUGAUGAAUUUUCUGUUUCAGCCGAAGGACUAGAUCGCCCUCAAUGAAUGAGCGACGGCGUAGUCGACGGUCGUGAUAGUUGCAGAGACUCUAUUGGUAGACCGUUGACCGAGCGAGGGCGAUGUCACGUGCCUCAUCUGCUGCGUCGAGUGCAUCUUCCAUACCUUCUGUGCAGUCUGGUCCGGCGUAUGCUGCGACCCGAGGUGCAUUGUACCUCACCUCGGAUGGCAGAACUGCCUCUGCCCUGUACACCAUAAAGAAAGGGGUGAACUGCGUGGAAGAAUUUGGUGUAGUGCGAAGGCUCCAGAGUACCGAGGGGAGUUCUUCGACCCACACGCCAGCUACUCUCCGCAAGGGUGUCAUCAACCUUUUCCGUAUGCCUUCAGUGAGCAGACCAUUGGCCUUUUCGACCUGGCCAUUUGUCUGCGGGUGCACGACUGCAGCGUAGUUGAUUCGGAUCCCCAUCUGCCCGUAGAAGUCCUGAAAAUCGGCUGCUUUGAAGUUGCUUCGAUUGUCUGUGAUGAUGCUGUGAGGAACGCCAAAACGGAAAACGAUGGAUCUGAAGAAUUGGAUAGCUGUUGUAGAUGUGGCGCUUGCAAUUGGCAUGGCCUUGAUCCACUUUGAAAAUUUGUCAAUGGCGACUAGCAGAAAAUGAUGUCCUCCAUGACACGACUUCCUCAACGGGCUUACCAUGUCGAGUCCCCAUUGCGCAAAAGGCAAGCGAUGGGAAUUGUCUUAAGUUCAGAAGCUGGGGCAUGCAGCUUCGUGGCGAACAUCUGACAUGCCUCGCAUUUGCUGACAAUAGCCUGAGCGUCGAGUAGGGCCAUGGGCCAGUAGAAUCAAGCUCUGAAGGCUUUGACGGCGAUUGUUUUGCUUCCGGCGUGGUACCCGCACGUGCCCUGAUGGAUAUCUAGGAGGAUAUCAUGUCCUUCUUCUGGUGCAAUACAUCUCUGAAAAAUGCUAGAGACACUGCGUUUGUACAACUCACCGUUGAUCACUGUGAAAGCUUUCGAUCGCCGCAUAAUCCUUCUAGCUUCGGUUGUAUCCUCUGGCAACUCCUGCCGGAGCAUGUAUGCGAGUAGUGGCUACAUCCAUGUUGGUUCAAUUGCCAUGACUUCAACUACACCAUCUUCUGCUUGCUCGGCUACGGGGCUGUCAGGUGAAACCGGUGAUUCGGUUAGAAGUUCUGAGUUGGACGACUUUUUGACUGAGGAAAUCGUGCUCUUCUCUUUGAUGGAUCGUAGAUGAAUGAUUUCCAAAAAAAGUCCAGGCGGAACUACUGCUCGCGUGGAUCCCAGGUUGGCUAAUUGAUCAGCCUCUACGUUACUGGAUCGGCUGACAUGCCCAAGCUCACAACCGUCAAAAUUGCCCUCCAAUGUGUUGUACAUAUUACAGCAGGCGAUCAUGGUGUCUGAUACUGCAUCGCAGGUCUUCAUUGUUUGUUGCACAACCAAAUUGGAGUCGCCAUAGAUCAUUAGAUGAGUGGCGCCACAUGCUUUUGCCAUCCGCAUGCCAUGCAACAAGGCCUCAUACUUGGCUUCGUUGUUGGAGGCGUUGCGGAAGUGCAUCUGAAAAACAUAGCGCAUCUUGUCCCCUUUUGGCGAGAUCAGUAUUACUCCUGCCCCUGCACCUUCUGCUCGUUUGGAUCCAUCGAAGUACAUGGUCCAGGCACUCGUCAAGUCGGGCAGACUUGGAGUCUGCAUCUCGGUCCACUCAGCGAUGAAGUCUGGCAGUACUUGCGACUUGAUUGCUUUCUAGCGCUCGUAUGUGAUAUUCCUGGGUGAGAGCUCGAUUCCCCAUUGGGCGACACGACCUGUUGCCUCUGGGUUACUGAGAAUGUUGGUGAGUGGAGCCUCACUCACCACGACGAUCGGGUGCUGCUGAAAAUAGUGUUCCAGCUUUCGGGCCGUCAUGAAUACUCUGUAUGCCAGUUUCUGAUAAUGUGGAUAACGUUGCUUCAUGAGAGAUAACACUUCACUAACAUAGUAUAUCGGCCUCUGGACUGGCUGCGCUUUCCCUUCUUCUGCUCUUUCUACUACCAAGGUAGUGCUGACCACCUGAUUUGUGGCGGCGAGGUAUAGCAAGAGCUGCUCAUUCUCGAGUGGAGCUACAAGGACAGGUGAAUGCGCUGCUGGCCUCGGGUGUCCAUGUAAAUUUAUCUCCCUUUUUGAGUAGCUGAUAAAACGGCAGAGCCUUUUCUCCCAAUCUGCUAAUGAACCGGCUGAGGGCUGCCACUCUUCCUGUAAGCUAUUGUACUGCAUGGAUGUUUGUUGGUUCCUUCGUUGUCACGAUUGCUCUGAUCUUGUCUGGAUUUGCUUCGAUUCCCCAUGCAGAAAGAAAGUAACCCAGAAGCUGCCCUACAGGUACUCCGAAAACGCAUUUCGUCGAGUUAAGCUUGAUCCGAUACUUGUCAAGAUUCUGGAAUGUCUCUCGAAUAUCUUCUAAUAGAGUAUCUUCAGUCUUUGUCUUGAUAACGAUGUCGUCGAUGUAGACUUGAACAUUUCUGCCAAGCUACGCCCCAAGACAUGCUUGCAUGCAGCGUUGAUAUGUAGCGCAUGCGUUUUUCAGUCCAAAAGGCAUAGUUGUGUAGCAACAAACUCCAUAAGGUGUUAUGAAUGCUUUCUUGUCUUCAUCCUCCUUCUUCAGUCGAAUCUAACUGUACCCAGAAUAUGCAUCAGGAAUGACAAUCGAGCACAUCCCACAGUCGAGUCGACGAUCUGGUCGAUUGGAGGCAGGGGGAAAUGAUCUUUUGGGCAAUGCUUGUUCAGUGAGGUGAAAUCAACGCACAUGCGCAAAACUUUCAUGUUCUUCUUCGGGACAAGCACGGGGUUCACUACCCAGGUAGCUUGUAUGAUCUCCUGGAUGAACUUGGCAUCGAGUAAGCGAUUGACCUCUUCACCAAUAGCCUUCCGCUUGGGCUCUGAAAAUCGUCGCAAUGGUUGCCUGAUGGGCUUGGCAUGCUUGUCCACAUGUAGAGAGUGCUCGGCGAGUUCCCUGGGAAUACCCGGCAUGUCGGAUGGUACCUAGGCAAAAAAUUCCAAUUCUCGCAUAGAAACUCGACGACCGCGCUUUCCUAUGCGGGAGGAAGGCUCGAAGACACCACACUGUUUUGCUGGAAUCUGUUGGGUGUACCUGAUGCUCUGUUGUGUCACUCUUCAUGCUGAACUCUAUCUGUGGUGGCGCUUUCUUCGUCAUGGAAAGUACGUCGUUGUCCGUCGUUGCCUUCACAGAGGCGAGUUCCGUCUGCAUGCCGAAUGAUUCAGCAAGCUUGUGGAACUCUCUGUCACAAUUGUCCGAUCUUGUAAAGCUUCCUCGGACGGUGAUUAUGCCAUAGGGUCUAGGCAUUUUCAGCAUGAGAUAUGCAUAAUGCGGGAUGGCCAUGAAUCUGGCGAGUGCUGGCCGGCCUAGAAGCACAUGGUAUUCGAUUUCCAGUCGAGUACUUCAAAAUCGAACCGUUCUUUGCGAAAGUUGGCGGGGUUGCCAAAGACAACGUCGAGGCUAACCCAGCUUAAUGGUACUGCCGGUUUUCCUGGGACAAUUCCGUGAAAAGAUGUGUCUGUGGCUUGGAGAUUCGUUAAUGAUCUGUUCAUUGCCCUUAGUGUAUCCGCAAAUAUGAUGUUAAUGCCACUGCCUCCAUCUAUGAACACCUUGCUCAUCUCGUAGCCUCCCACCUGAGCGUCGAGGACUAGUGCUGACUGUCCUGGCCUCGGAAUCUGAGGUGGGUGAUCUGCCCGUGAGAAUGAAAUGGUGACCUCGGACCAGUCGAGGUACUCUGGGGUGGUGGGUGGUGCUGCCAUAGCCAGAUGAACUUGUUGAGUGAUAACCUUUUGAUGCCUGUUGGACGGCCUUCCUUUCUGUAUCAUGCAGAUAUUUCCCAAAGGCGCUGGAUACGUGUCGUACCAGUGGCCCGCGGGGUCCCACUGAUACGGGACGUGUGGGUCGCCAGUGACGAAGCCCCGUCAGGAAGGCCUCCCGGGAAGCGUUGAGUCUGGGGAGCCUGCCUCGAGGAAACGGCCCUUGGUGGGGGAGAAGCUAAGGGCCGAUUACAAGAAGCCCCCAGGAACCCCGAUCCUGGGAAGCUGAAGGAAUGCCUCCCGGCAACCAGCUGGGUGUGCUAGCCGGGGAGGGGCACCCCACCAACCCGCGCUCGGGCAUGCAGGCACGGCGGGCGCAGUGCAUUUAAUGCACGGACAAGAGUCUUAUCGGCAGGCCUAGUCCUGCUGAGCAAGGCUAGGGCGUCUAACCUGCGAACCAUUUUUUCUAUCGUGUACAGUAGACAGGGCGCUGCAUGGCGUCCAGCGCGGAUCAACCAAAGUGUAUCUCGUGUGGCCGUGACACGCGUCUGGGAAACGUGUUGCGCUGCAUGCUUAGGCACCUGUGGUAUCCCCAUGUCUAUAAAAGGAGGACCAAUGCCAUCGGUCAAAGGGUUCCAACCCCAAUUAUUAGAACAUAGCACAGCGUUCACCUAAGUAGCCAACCCGGGAACCUCUCGGGUGAUCUGUACGCACUCAAACUUGUGAAUACAACUCAAAGUAGGACGUAGGGUAUUACACCUCCGGGUGGCCCAAACCUGGGUAAACUCUUGUGUCUAUACUUCGUGUCUAUCGCAACGCCGGCGAUCGCCGGAGCGAUCAUCUCGCCCUCCACCGAACCAAAAAGGGGGUGCCCGGCAUCCCCGGUGCCGAAGACCGUGCUCCGACAAUACACGUCAGCUAUCGCUGGUGGUUCUGAUGGCCGUGACGCGGGCUGCAUGUGUUGCACAGAUCCGGCAAAAUUUGGUGGCAGUGGAGGGGGUGGCGGCGCGUUAUGCGCGAUCAUGCCAGCUCGAGUGGCGUGUGGCAGAGCCAGAGUGUUAGGAUUAUUCCUUGCUGGUUGCUGACCUGGCCCCCGAGGGUAAUCCCUGCUUGCCAUUGAGUUCUGAAAUUGGCUGCAUGUGUCCUGCAACUCGUAGAAACGAUGGCACUCGCACAGUGUGUGGCCGCACCUUAUAUUUCCAUCAGCAUCCCUGGUGCUGUGGAAAGGGCAGGGAGACGACAGCUGUUGUGUCAAUGACAAAGCAGGUUGUCCAUCUCGCCGCAAUCUCCGGGGCUGCCACUACUAGUUCUUGUUGCUGUCUCAGUAGUUACCACGGUUACUUCUAUCCCGAUGUCCUUCAUGAUUUCCUUCACCUCGAACACCACCAUUACGGCCGAACUCUGCUGCUACAAACUCGGGGGCGUUGGGCUCCUGCUCCUUUCGCUUCUUUCUUCUCUCGGUGUUGCGACCGUGUCCUCGCUCGGCUUCUUCAUCAUCUGGUAGUGCAUUGUGCUCAUUCCGAAUUGAAUCUUCUCCAUCUACCCACUCAUUUGCUAUCUCCAUCAGAUCUGCAACCGUUUUUGGCCUACUCCAUCCCAGUUCUUCCUUAAAAGUGACACACUUCAACCCACGCUUAAAGGCGUCGACCGCGCUCUCGUCUGAUAUCUCUUCUGCUGCAUUUUUUAGGGACGUCCAUCGUUGUAUGUACGAUCGAAUGGACUCACUCGACCUCUGUGUGCAUGCUCGAAGUUCUUCCAAUGAGACUGGCCUUUUAUAUGUUGCCCAAAAUGUGCGGGUAAAAACUUGGUAGAGCUCGUCCCACGAGCCUAUUUCACCUUCUGGCAGACUAGCCAGCCAGGUGCGAGCAUGCCCCUUGAGCUGCAACUGUAAACACUGCAUGGCUGUGUUCUUCGUUCCUCCCUUCAGUCGCACCAUUGUGAGGUAAUCUUCUAACCAAGCUCUCGGCUCCUAGGAACCGUCAAACUUGAUUGCGCUCGAAGAUACUGAAAAAUUAUCACGCAUCUUCGAGUUGCAAACGCGACGGCUAAAGCAGGCCGCACCGCAAGGUUCAUCUUCUUCCUCUAUGAUGCGGCCAACACGGGCUGACCGCUCGUGAUCGAUUCUCUGCUGCGUAAUGAUAUCACAAGCAUCUCCUAGUACGAGGUUGUUGCGGCGACGAUGAGGCUGUUCUUCCAGUCCCUGUUGUGGAGGAGUGUGUGAUUGUUUUGUCGUGGGGAGCUGCCGUCCCUAUGCCGUCGGGGCUCCAUCUGGUUCGAGUUGGGGCCCAUGAGGCCAUUCCCGAUGAGGCCCAAGCCGGCCAAGACCUGCUUGUGGAUUGCCGCCUUCGGGUCGUCAUCCGGUGGCAUGGUGGAUAGGAGGUACGUGUUUUCAACGACCACAGCUCCUUGUGGCGUCCGGGGAAGCAACUCUCCCUGGGUAUUGACUGUCAUCUGUUCGUCCUCCAAACUUGCGUGUCUUGCCGAGGCGAUCUCGCUCGGGGAUAUUGUUCAACCGAGAUUGAUAGCGCGGCGCUCUGUAUCUGGGGGUGCUCCGGGAGCAGGCACUGCGACUCUGUGCUGAGAGCUGUCUACGAGCACUCGAAGCGUCGGCGACUUCCCUCCGCCGUUGGAGCUCCGCCUGCUCCUCUCGCAGUCGAGCAUGCGUAGUGUCUAGCGCAUGGUGGUAUGCCAUCAUCUCGUUGCGCGUGGCGUCUGCUAGCAAAGGGUUGGUGCCGUUAAGAGCAGCCUCGACCCGAGCUUCUUCUUCCGGCGUGAGAAUGAUCGUUGGCCGAUCAUUGGUCACGUCUCUUGCUCGUGCCUCGGCGAAGAUGGUUUUGCCGGCGCGUUGUCCAUCUCCACUGCUCUCGCCUACUUCCGCUGCGAAGACCUGUGCCAAGGUCAUGCGACGGAUCAUAGUUGCAUCAGCGGGAUUGAUUGCUACACUCGAACGGGUAUUGACGUUGUAAGGAGUGGAAGCUUCAGCGAACACCGAGUGGUGCGAAUCGCACUCGGUGCGAAAAAAUUUGGCCAAAAUUUGCCCUGUUUCGCCCAGCGAGCACAUCGAUGGUGAAGGAUCAGUCGGUGACGCCACCAGAGACUCGCAGAUCUGUCUUGUCAGUGACAGAUCUGUGAAGCUGAUGAUUCCUUCGCGGCUGACUCGGAGGUCAAAACCUCUGAACGACAGCUCCAGAAGAUCGCGAAGGUUGCGGAAGGCCGAGCGCAAUGUCGGCGGGUGAGCUGAGAAGCUCAAGGAUCCGAAGCGGAUCGGCUCCUCCACGGUUGUCACGUUGCGGAUUGAGAGCGACAUGGUCGAGAAGAUCGUAGAUCUGAUGCACUUCUUCCUCACGGUCGGCGCCAAUGACGAGGGGCUACCUCGGCAGUACCCUAACUCGAGGGUUUUCGACUGAGGGAGAGCACGGGGUGCACCAGCGAUCUUGUCGACUAACAAAAACUUAGGAAGUCACAAGGUUUACCCAGGUUCGGGGCCCUCGGAAGGUAAUACCCCUACGUCCUGCUUUUGGUGUAUCGUAUUGAUCGAGAUUAUAGAGAAGCUAUAAAGCUAUGGUGCGCAGAUGAAUCUGGCGUGUGUGUAGAGGUUGGCCAUUCCCGAUCCCCCUCCUAGCCUUAUAUACUGGCAGCUAGGUCUCGGACGUGAUAACCGGAAAGCUUACAAUCAGAUCAGUUCAUUCCGGUAUGAAAAGAUGAUGUUCCUUGGAUUGAGCCGCACUUUGAGGGACUCAACCUGCAUAUACUUGAUGGGCUUUUAAGUGGACCCUCUGUUGGGCUGUAUCGGGUAUAUGAAGGUUGAGUACUCGAAGGGUCGUUUCCUCGUCAACGGGAUUAAGUGCAAACCGGACACGUGGUUAGACAAACCGCUUCGGAUAGCCUUAAGGACUAAAAGUGUCCGGUUUUGAAAGUUCAGUGAUAAAAAAGUACGAAUUGUUUUUGAGGGACGGGAAACGAAUUUUCCGACAAGUUGAAGGACCAAAAAUAUACUUUUCUCUAAUUAUUAACAUUUCGUAGCUUAUCCACUGUAUCAGCAACAUCCAUCGUCACUGCAGCGAGUUCAGAAUUCCUUUCUGAAUUUGUAGAGUAGCGCAUAUAUGUGCAUGACGAUCGAUCUUGUCUAAAUCCCAGUGAGUUGAAACUUGUGAGAGGAUUGGAAAUUGGAGGAUCGACACCAAUUAUUAACCAGCAAAUGUCAAUGCGUCGCAUUCUGACGGCCCAUCGUUCCCAGAUUGCUAGCGACGUAGGUUUUGGCGGGGGCAUCUUCUUCUACAGCGGCGCUAGCCCCACGGACGCAGCAAAGUCAAUGUUCAAAACGGUGUUCGGCUAGCUAGCUAGUUGUGGCUUUCUCGUGUAACAGUGCGGCGAUUCUUGGCCACUGAAAGGACGAUGGAUUUGGAUCAGACGAAUUUUAUAGGAACCGCACGUGUUUCUGUAGGGGGAUUACUUCUAUAGGCACUAGAAAUUUUCACAUUUCAACUCUCUAAUCAUCGUGGAAUCUUAGAUUUCGUCCCUGUAAUCUACGGAGUAAAAGCGAACGUAUCGCACCGUACAGCCUAAAAGCGAACAUAUCGUGCGUAUUGUAUUACACCCUGUGCUCGUGGUUUAUUAUUGCAAUCUGCGUGACAUGUUCAAUAGAGAAACUAAAGAAAUAUAAAUUUUGGAAAAGUGAAAGUAAUAAAAAGAAUGCACUUGCAAAAACAAGAACCAAAUAAAAAAUAAAAAGGAAACGUACGAUUUUAUAAAAGAGUGAAAUGUUCAUCAAAGUCUACAAUUUGAGAAAAACUCAAAUUAUUGCUUUGUUUAUCAAAAUAUUUAUCACAAAUCCUUUUAGCCUAUCAGUUUGGUGUAAACCUUAUGUACUUUUCAGCUUUUUUACCAUCUCUCCUCUUUCGCUGAAAGAAAUUAUAUGGGAUAGGGCCUCGUGGGGUGCAUUGUGAACUAUAUCCCCAAGUUGCUCUAAUCUGGUGAAUUGGGUCAAGUGAAAAAACAAAUACUGCGUAGGGCCUUGCAGGUGGGUCUGUCGUCUUGUUAGAUUUGCUGUCAAAUGCUUUAAUCUCGAGAAGAAUUCGGGUCAAGUGAAAAAAAUUACCCUCUAAAAUUGUGGCAAAUUUAUACGAACCCCUCCGAUUGAACCUAAGUUUUGUGGUAUUUACUCUGGCUUACAGGACAGCAUCCUGCCAUCUCACUCUCACAUCACGAUAGAAUCCGAGCCAGGCAGUGUCGAGCAGUAGAGCUGUCCCAUACCUUUCCUUAGCUUUGGACUAGCUGAGGUAGUUCACAAGUCACGAGCUCACGCAGGUCCAACGUCCCCAACGUGUCACGAUUCACGAACAAGACGCCGUGUGUCGACUGUCUCUACGGACAAGAAGAGAACAUAGGAUCGACCUUUGCAGAAACGAGGUCAAGAGAGCAAUGAUCGAUGGAUUCGAAUCAAUCAGUGCGUCAACAUAAUAAUUGGAGUAAUUAAUUUUCUACAGAAAAAGAAACAGAGAAAAAAAAAGGAGAACUGAUUGGAGUAACCAGUGCGCUAACUGAUUGGAUCACACACACUGAGGAGGAACUGACAAGAGAAGAAGGGUUCGGUCUGAAACUGUAUUGACAUCCGUAACACCAUUUACAUGGAGACUUGCUGACAGGUAUUGAUCCAUCCAACACAACUACAGAAGACACCGGAACGAAGCAUCACUUUUGUUUCUUUAGCAGUUAUUAGCCUGCUAAAGGGGUAAAACUAGCUGCUAGCAAGAAAUUCCAGGUUGGUUCAGCUGCUUCAGGGACCCUUUGGAGGGUCAUGGCGGUUGUUGGCGCCGGACCCGGGGUAGUCGUUCACCACCUCCACGUCCAUCCUCGCCGCCGCCCUGCCCAGGCUCAUCUCCUGCAAGAUCGACCACAUCCAAACCGUACAUCGAUUAAUUCUCAGCGCGUGCAUCAGGACUAUUAAAUCUAGACACAAAUUCGACAGCCAGGUAUAUAUUCAGACAAUCAGACCGGAAGAACAGCGUAUACACGGUACCUGAGGAGAAAGUUGCAGAGACGGCGGGUGCAGCUGCAGGUUCCUCGUCAAGUGCAAGCUUCCUGCAAAGAAAAACAACAGCCGACUGAUAAGCGACAGAAACAUACUGGAUCGAGAGAUUGAAGAACCGAGUAGUCAGUACUUACUUGACGUGGGCACCGCAGACGCCGGCUGCAGGAUUAGGAGAAGGGCGACGGCAAGGAUUAAGGCAAGGAGAUGCUUCCUGGAGCGGCAAGACUCCAUUGUUGGAGCGGUGGCGAGGGGAGAAUUGGCGGCGCCGCUGUUCUGUUCUGUCUCUGGCUCAAUGGUCGGCAAUGGCGUGAUGAGAUGCUGGGUGGGUGGCAAACUGGUGGGCGUUGCCUGCUAGUGCUUGGGUUUUUAUAGUUGGACCAGGGCUAGCAAGCUGGCUGCUCACAUGGCUUUCUCUCCUUGCCCGACUACAAAAGGUCAACUUCGAUUACUUUCCCCUGUCUGGAUGCUGGAGGAUGGUCUGCGAAGUCUUCUCUUGUGGAUGUACUUGUGGUAUUUUUGUAUGCGAAAACAGGAGAACCUAUCCUUUUCAGUUCAUAGGCAUACAAAGAGCAGGUGAUAUUAAAAUUCAUUGGCACUUAAAUAUCCUUUAUAAACUUCAAUUUUCGUGCUAAACUAGUAGAUACCACAAGGUUCUAGAUUUGUAUAAAAGUCUUAACCAUGGUAAGAUUAAUCGGUGCUAUUCUUUCAAUGAUAGCUAACUUACCCGUCAACAGCGAGAUGCAUAUGGUGAUUCGUCACGCGUGUAUAUGAUACUUAAAAGAAGUUCUCGAAAGGUCAGUGCAUAGUUGACGUAUUCUUGUAUUUCCUCUGAUUUCAUAAAAAAUGUCGUCCAUUUAAUAAAAAAGUUGUAUUAGCUUAGUACAAAAUAGACGAUAUUUUUUAUGGAUGGGAGGGAGUAGCAAAAGGCAAGAAAACAUUCCCAUCAUCGAUAAGAUCGACGGGGAGCAUAAUGUAUGUUUGGUUUACGGCCAAAAUAGCACUAUCAAACUCGGUAAAAUCCGGCUUGACAAUUAUCUGGUCAAUAAUUUUUUAGCCUAUACUUGACCAAAGAUUUGAUAAAAAAUUGUGAGAGGAUAACUAGAAACUCAUUUACAACCAAAUUUUUUUUAAAAAAAAAACAUAGACCAAUCAGUAAGUGCGUUGCCUACAUUUCCCGUCAGCUCGAGGAGUUUCUUUCCUCGACCAGGCCAGCCGCCAGCUCGCUUCAUUCGGAUGCAGAAAAUCUCGAGCUGAUUCGGAGCUCAGACCCGUGAGUCACGAGCACUCUUCCAGCGGUUGCCCCGCUCGACUGUUCAUGGCCAGACGUUGGACGGACGUAACGGAACUACUGCUCCGUGACCACGCAGCGAAGGCAACGGAACAGUGUAAACCUAAAUGGGCUACUCCACCGUAGGCCUCUCGACGGCUUAACAACAGUACAGUACCCGACGGGACCGCACCGAGAUGACUUUCCGGUGUUCUCAAGGUGCAUACCACAAAAUCGCCCCGUUUCCUUUCUCUUCCCGAAAGUUCUCUUUGCUGUCUCUGACGAGGGAUUCUCUCUUUUUCACCCCAUGGUGUACGUCAACCCGGUGGUCCAAAAGCAAAAUGUUCUUCGUUCCGGAAAGUUACGGAAGAAUUUGGAGUCAAUGUGAAGUCACACGGCUGGAACUGUCACCUCCCUCACCACUUCAUACUUCAGUUCAGACCCUUCCUGACUUCCUGUUGUCACUGGCAUCAGUGGAUAUUGUUGACUGUUGAGCCUCUGCCAGCUUAAUUAGUCGUAUCAAUCACACUGUUCAAAGCGUACAAUUGUGGUCCAAAUUAAUGUGCAGUUCUAAAGAUUAGCCUAACUUUACUAAGACUAUGUGCAAGAUGUUACUCCCUCCGAUUCUAAAUUGUUGUCAAAAUAUUACAUGUAUCUAAAUGUUUUUUAAGAAUAGAUACAUCCAUAUUUGGUCAAAUUUGAGUAAAAAAUUUAAUGUCAGAUGGAGUAUUUUAUUUUCCUGUGCAUGUACAUGAGAGGCGGGAAAUGACUCUAGCAGAAAGAGUGUGAGUUUGCAUUUCGGCUUCUGAGCAAAACCCUAAGGACAGUACAUGAGGGUCUGAUGUAACUUAAUCCAAAAUGGGAAUUCCGUUUUCUUCCUAUUUUCUUUUUGAAGUUUCAGAUCACGAUGCUGACUGUAACUCGAGGAAUCGCAUCGUGACAAAAAUGAAACAUGGUGUAGCUCUCAUCGUGCUUUCUAAUAAAGCUGGGAUGAAAAGCCUUUUUUCUAAAACAUGUAGCCCUGAAAUUGACAAAAGAAAAAUAUAUUCCUUCUGUAGUUCUCAUAUCGUGAGAAGCGCCUCGGAAAGCAACGAGACGCGAAGCAUCUGUCCACAAAAUGGGCCGGCUUGGGGAAGGACAGCGGCCAUGCAUGACAUGACAUGGGCCGGAAGGAACAUAUGUUUGUCCAAGCGGAAGCGGGAGAUGGGUGAAAUACUGACAUGGCUCUCAGGUGCAGCUACUUUUUAGAGUGAAUAGUAAAUUUUAAAUGAUUACUUCAAAUUUUCAAAAAGUCUUGAUCAAAUUAUAAUAUACUUACUAUGUAACCAGCACACUUCAUUGUCACCUGGUGUCCAAAAAUCGCCACAUGAUGUCCACGUCAGCUCAUAAACCGGUAAAACGAGUGUGUGGUUGAUUUGAAAAGUUCAGGAUUCCUUUUGCACCAAAAUAAACAUUAAGUACAAAAGGUAAACAUCGGUGACAAUUCAACGACGGAAUGAGAACUUCUUUUCAUUGUCACCCUUAGCCCGGAGACUCCAUUACCCAUCUCGAUCAGGGGUUUGACGCAUCGCCAUAUCAUUGUCAUGAAACGGCGCUUGCGCCAAUUUUGGUACUAGCAUUGUUGCUACUUGCUACUAGCAACAUGGCCAACGCUGAACCUUUACUUCCUGACUUACUACUGACUUAUUACUGUACCUAGUAUGCAGACAGUCCGGCCGGUCAAGUUAUCAUCACACUCUACCUGAUAGCAUGGUGUCUUCUACUAGUAUUACAAUACGGGUUUAUCGAACAACUUUGUUACUAGCUCCUUGGAACUCCUGACGGCAAUUGGAACAACACGAAGAGAUCCUACUGUCGUUUAACAGGCACAAGCAGAAGAGCCACCUUCUUACGGAAAACAAGCUGCCCUGUUUCCUCCAUAUCGAUAUCCCCCUCCUUCACCCCAUCAGGAAGUUCCCAAUCAAAGCAGUACAACAGAUUGGCCAGCACGAGCUCAACAUUGGCCACGCCCAUGGCGACGGCAGGGCAAGCCCUUCUCCCGGACCCAAACGGGAGGAGCUCAAAGUGCAACCCCCUGAAAUCAACCUGCGAGUCCUCGAACCGCUCAGGGCAGAACUCCUCCGGCCUGUCCCAUAUCGCCGGGUCUCUCCCCAUGGCCCAGACGUUCACGUGGAUCCUGGUGCCUGCGUCCACGCUGUACCCCGCAAUCUCGCAGCUCUGCAUUGUCUCCCUUGGGAUCAGCAGGGUGCCCGGUGGGUGUAGCCUGAAGUUCUCCUUCACUAUCAUCUUCAGGUACUUGAGCCUCUGGACGCCUUCUUCGUUAACUCUGGAAUUGUUGUCGUUGUUGUUCCUGACAACGGCACGCACCUCGGCUUGCGCCUUCCGCAUCACCCUUGGGUUCCUCAUCAGCUCCGACAUGAUCCAGAUCGUGGUCACGGCGCACGUGUCAAUUCCACCUGCAAAUGUAUCCUUUAGUGAAAAAUGGACAUUGAUUGUGAAUUUGUGAUUCUAACCAUUAAUUUACCAAUCGAUGCUAAUCAGUUUUAGUACCAUGAGAAUCCCCUUGAUGUUAUCACGGGACAGAGCCAGAGGCCCAUCCGGAUCCUUCCACAACUUCACCAGCGCAUCCACCAAGUCCUCCUGCACGCCAGCCGCGAGCCGCUCAGGCUCUAGAUGCUUGUCAAUGACGGCAUCAAAGAAAGCAUCAAUCUUGCGGAAGACCCUCCGCCGCCUUGCCGCGGCGCCCGUGGCGAAGUCCGCGCACCGGGCGAGAGUCGAGGACGGGAAGAAGUCCUCGAAGGUGAAGCUGCCGAGGACACGCAGCGUCUCGUCCAUCAUCCCCUGGAAGCUGCUCCUGUCGAAGGAGUCCGACAUGUACGUCUUCCCGAAGGCCACCGUGCCGAUGAUGCCGUCCGAUAGCGCGUAGAGCUUCUCGCUGAGGUCGACGGGGGUGGAUAGUGAGCCGGCGGCAGCGGCGGCGGAGAGGGAGCCGACGAGGCGGUCGACCUCGGCGGCCCGGGCGUAGGCGAAGGACUGGACGCGGCGCGUGCUGAGGAGCUCCAGGACGAGGAGCUUCCGCAUGUCGCGCCAGUAGUCGCUGUAGGGGCCGAACGCCACGUCCAGGAAGUUGUAGCUCAGCGUCCUUGCACCUACAUAUAUAUGGCCGACGGACGGAGGCAGGCGAGAUUAGUGAUCUCUCUUGUGCUAGCUGCUGAUGUUCUUCCGGUUUUUUCUCAGUCCUCCAUUGCUUCGAACUGUUUCUCUUUCAGUCGCUUAAAAUUGCGAUUUCUGAAGGUGUAUAUGGCUUCAGUCCGUCAAAAAAAAAGUCAGAGUGCAAAUUUUAUUUUUUUGGUUUAGUAGAGAUUUCAAGACAGAGAUGGUGAUUCAGACCCUUUUCGAAAAAAAAAAGACGUUUAUUAUCGAGCUGUGCCGCUCGUGCCCCGGCUUGGACCGUCCCGGGAUUCGGCCUCGGACACGUGGGUCAACAUGGCUCGGCCCAUUUAACAUUUUUUGUUGCAUUUUUCUUAAACAGCGAUUUCACAGCGGGCUGAUGUGCCUGGGCCUGACUUCUGCCUUUGUCGGCCUGCCGGUCCAUCGAAACAACCUUCAAAUGGAUAAACGUGAAGGACAAAUGGAAGUUCAUCUUUGAAAAUGCCUUACACUUUAACCAUAAAUAUUGUUACACUUUAAUGAUAACUCGUCUGUAUGUUUCUGUUACACUUUAACCAUAAAUGUUGUUACACUUUAACCAUAAAACGUCACGACAAUUUAUAUGUUUAUUUUACACUUUAACCAUAAAUGUUGUUACACGUUAUCCAUAAAACACCACGACAGUCUAUAUGUUUCUUUUACAUUUUAACCAUAAAUGUUGUUACACUUUAACCAUAAAACGUCACGACAAUUUAUAUGUUUCUUUUACACUUUAACCAUAAAUGUUGUUACACUUUAUCCAUAAAACGUCACGACGGUCUAUAUGUUUCUUUACACUUCAACCAUAAAUGUUUUUACACUUGAUUUAACCAUAAAACGUCACGACGGUCUCUAUGUUUCUUUUACACUUUAACCAUAAAUGUUGUUACGCUUUAACCACAGUCACGACUGUCCAUAUGUUUCUUCUGAUAAAAAUUAAGUGUUCCUUACAAAUGGUCCGAAUUCUAGACCAUUAUGUAUGGUACGUGUCUAUCAAGUCGACCUGAUCCAAUGCUAUUAGGUAUUCUCCCGAGAGGCCGAGACCUCUGUCUCUUCAUUUCUCCUCUCUUGUUCCCCUCGGUCCUCCUCUGCCGUACCCACCGACGCUCAUCAAGGCCACAAAGGCCUUCGAGCUCUACCUGGCGCUCGCCCCGUUCUUCGUCCUUAGCCUCACCAGCCUCUCCAUGCGCCGCCAGAUCAGUCGCAUCCUCACCGAUCUGGGCACAUUCUGCACCAGCAAUCGCCUCAUCGGCUCCAGCAACGGCUACGUUGCCGUCGCCAGCGAAUACCGGAAGAGUAUUCGCGGGAGAUCUGGAUACAGAAGAGACGGCGCCGGCGAGGUCGAAGGCAAACCCCUGCCCGUGUUGUUGGGCUCCUCGAUCUUGGCCCGAGCCGAGCCUCAGUUCUGGACUUGAAAUCGGUUUCGGGUUGAGCCAGGCUCGGCUCGCCAUCUUCGGGCAAUAGGCGAGCUUUUUAGCCGGCUCGCGUGCAGGCCGAUACACAAGUUAGCUACGGUUCGUGCCUGAAUUAUUGAGGAAGCACAGGCCAAGUCUAUCUUCUCUUGUCCCUUUUACUAAGAUAAUGUAAGCCUAGAAGGAUCUUGUCGCCUACCUUUAACCCAAAUAACGAAAAUGAUGUUGCAAUUAUAAAUUAUCAGAAACUUUGUACGGAUUAUUUCUCAUCAAGAACAUAACAAGGCUAAAACAAAACAAAAAUAGGAAGUACUAGUUUGAAAUAGGAAUUAAGGCUGCCAUGAAUUAACGCACACAUAUGUUACCUGGUGAGUUGGGCCGGCUGCAGCACUGCAGAUCGUUGGUCCGGAGGACCUCCUUGGCGGCCUCCGGCGACGUGACGACCACCAUCCGCACGCGGCCCAACUGCACCUGCACCACCGUCCCAUACUCCCGGGCGACCGCCAGGAAGUACCGGUGCGGCCGGCUGCCGAGCUGCAGGAGGUUGCCCAGCACGGGGAGCUGUUUCGGGGGGCCAGGAACAGGAGGACCAUUAUUUGUUGCUGCUCCCUGUGUUUCUCUCUUGCUACUACUGCUCCUGAUGAAGAAGAGGCAGAGGAGAGGGAUGAGAAAGAGUGGUGAUAUCCAUGGGAGAAGAGGUGCCAAUGACGAUGGGUUGGGAAGAGAAGGGGCAAACAUGGAGUCAGGAUACUGUGGGACGGUCGAUCGCUGCCAACGGUUAAAUAAGACGGGAUGACUGCAUGAGGGGAUGGCUGGACAUAAAUCAGCACUUCAUAUAUAUCGGAUAUUUAGUACUACUAGCCGAAAUGACCGUGCGUUGCAACGCGAUAACAAAAUAAAAUGAUGAACUCGAAGACAUGCAUAAAAAAUUUCUCAUUUUGUUUUUCUUUGACAAUCAACAAACAUCAUUUUUAAAAAGGUUUCUUCUAAAGAUUUUUUCUCUAUACCUUCUGAAAAUCACAUAGCAUUCGUCAUUGAGUUCUUUCUUUCGAGCCCUCAUAGCUUCACAGAUUGUGUGCCACGGGUCCUGAGACGAGGCGAUCGGAGGGUCAUCCAUGAGGCCUGUCAACUCGGACUUGUAUCCCGGCCAGUGAUACAAAUUUGAAAAAGAAAUCUACUUGUUUUCCCGAACGAAAUAAGCUCACGAUACUAAAUUUAAAAAAGAAAACAAAAUAUCUUCCAACAUUUCAGAAUCAUGGUUUGCUAAUCCUCACAAUCCUCCCAAUGAAAAGAAGUGAUUGGUAACAGAAAGUAAAAUACAAUUAUUUUAUCCGAUUAGUAGCCCAAUCAUUAAUAUUACAAUGAGCUCUAUGUGACGGUGCCAUAAAAAUUGUCAACUCAAGAAAUAUUUUUUUGCCAAUAAUCCACAAUUAGUGCCCACACCCACACAAAUGCAACAUCAGAAGAAGAGCCUCGUGAGACUGGACCAUAAAUAUUCUAGAUAUCCUAUUCUUCAAACCUACAAGUCUACUCUACUUACAUUGGCUUGUGCUCAUCGGAGGCCUGAAUGCCUGAUCAGCUGCCUUGAUCUGCCCCCACAAGGCGUCGGCGGCGCUCAUCUCGGAUGCGGCGGGUGCUCGGGGAGGACGGCGACUGCAGGCAGAAAUCUCGCCCUGAGAUGCCGUCACCGAAGAUCCGGCCGGCGGCGAGAUUAAGGAGGCUGCCGGCGCAGCCCAGUCGCACGUCUCGGAUGGCUGGAUGCGGCGCGUGCUUCGGGUGGACGCCAGCUGCUGUACUCGGGGAAACGGAGGAGCUCCAGGUGUCACCGCAGCUCUGGCCGGCGGCGGCGUAGGCGAAGCCUAGGCGUCGCUUGGCUCUCCCGUGGCAGUCGAGGAGAAGAAACACUUCGGGCGAAGGAAUAUCAGAUCGAGGAAAGGGCUACGAGUGUGUACGAGUUAGGCCUGCUCGUUGUGCCGAUUAGUUCGGCCUGUUGGGCCUGCUGUGUAUGUGUAUGAUUUCGGCCUGCUCGGCGGUGAGAUAGGGGCGUCGGGCCAUGGAUCGGUGAGACGGGUGUUGGGCGAGGCGAGCGAAGUUUGACAGGCGACGAAACCGCGUGGUGAAGGGAACGGUUCGUAUUUUUAGAUAGCUAUAGAUAAGACGUUUCGGUAGUUUAAUUUAUAGGUUUUGCCAUUUUUCUAUAUAAAAGUUGUCGGAUUAGUUAGAGAUUAGUUGAUGUGCUAACCGUUAGAUCUUAUCGAGCAGCAACAUUGGAAGAUGGAGGAGUGGAGAUGAUGUACAUAUCUUGAUCUAACAGCUCUGAUGCAUCAACUGAGAUUGAAGAUAUGAGUAAAUUUCACAGAACCGCAGGUUUUGAGGUUUGGUUCUCACCGAGCCACGACUUUUGCUAAUUUGUCCGUAAAACCACAGGUUGUUGAGCGUCUAAUUGUCUCACAUCACCUAAAAUGACGGCUUAUGCGAUUUUGAUAGCUUUUCUUACAUGUGGGUCCCUCCUGUCAGGCGCCACAUCUUUUUCAUUGGACCCCCUGGCUUUUUCUUUUUUUCCUCGUCCCCUCAUGCAAACUACGAGAGACAGCGGCGAGCGGCGUCGUUGCUCUCUGGGUGGUUUCUUGCCAGGAAUUAAGGGAUGAGAAAUGAGAAAUGGUAGAUGGGUGGAGGGUGUCCUCUGGGUCAAAGGAAUUGGAGGAAAAGGGACUAGAGCAAUGGGCAUCAACGGCGGAAGGCUCGGUGGCGCACUUGGCCGGCGUUGGAGAAGAUGAACUCUAGGGGCUCCGGCGCGGCUAUGUAGUGGGAUUAAGGGGUAUAGGAGUUGUGUGGGGCUCUUGGCUAAGCCUUUACAUAUCGGCGCGUCCGCGCAUAGUGGACGACGUCCAUGGCGAGCGUGGGGAGCAUCGCUCCAGGAAUCCAGGGGCUACUGCAGGACACUGUCGUGUUAUACAUGGCGUGGGGAUGCUUCGACGUGAAGGGACGGGAAGAGGGAGUGAACAGGGUGGAUUUUUACCGCACGAUGCCGAGAUGCAUGCGAGGUGCUCGAUGCCACGAUAUCUGGCACGCGCGGGAGAAAUGGCCUGCAGCUGGCCCCGUGCUUCCUUGGCAUGUGCCUAGGCCGGAGCCAUUGGCCUGCAGCUGGCUCGGGGCGGCGGACGCGCGGGCCAUGGCGGAUGCAGCUGGCUCUUAGUGGCAACGCUCUCCACGCCACGGGCCUCAUCCCUCUCUUGGACGACGCUCUCCUCGCUGCGGGCGCCGGCGUCGCCCACCCUCUCAGGGUCCGUGCCGCGCUGCCCGGUUGCCCCUGAGCGUCGGUUUCCAUCGAAGAUGAAAUUCGGUCAAGCAAAGGGGAGAGAAGAAGCUGAUAAUUCAGUCGGGACUCGCAGCCGUGAACUGAAAUCAGGGAAGGCAUAGAAGGCUCAACAAUGAAAGGGGCGUAUAUAUGUGCUAAAUCUUGGGUUAUGGAAUCAAGAUGGUGAAUGAGCGGUUGAAGGGACGGAUCGCUGGCUGGCGCCACACGUCCAAGCAAAAACUAGCAACGGGAAGCAAUUCCGAGUGAUGCUGAUGGGAAGGCACGCAGCCGCCGCACUCCAGCUUCGAGGGCCUCUCGUCUGUCGUGACCGAUAUGGCCGCCCAUGGCCGACUUCCUUCUCACCAAGGUCGUGUCCAAGGAGGUGCUGCCAUUUGUAGAAGAAGACGUGGCGCCUAACAGGCGGGACCCACAUGCAAGAAAAACUAUCAAAAUCACAUAAGCCGUCAUUUUGGGUGAUGUGAGACAAUUAGACGCACAAACUGUGGUUUUGCGGACAAAUUAGCAAAAAUUGUGACUCGGUGAGAAGGUAGCCUAAAAAACUGUGAUUCUCUGAAAUUUACUCUUAAGAUAUCUUUUUACAAAGGGCGUGCCUGUUGCUUAGUCGACUGAGAAAUAAGCUGCUUAUUUCUCAGUCGACUGGCUCAGCGCUGCUGUUUGUUUAGUUUGUACGUGAUUGUUUGUGGGCCGGGUUUUUUGUUUGUUGGGUUUAUAGGAUUGGGCUCCCCUCCACUGUAUUUGGGUUUCUUUUGUGUUCCUGUCCAGCUCUGAUCCUAUCGAGUAAUUGGGCUUUAGGCCCCGUUACAAACACACAAAAACUCGCACACAGAGUAAAAGAAAAGGUUUCCCUAAAAAAAAGUAAAAGAAAUUUUUUUUUUUACAAAAUGGGAAACUGACACAUGACGCAAAACAACUUGUCUCUCAAGGAAAACGGAAGCUGGAUCUAAAACAUCUCUUCCUUACCACCCCCGAUGAGCAGACAAGACACAAAAAGGAAGCCAUAUAACCCUAACGACGAAGGAAGAAGAUCAUGACGGAAAAAACUCCAACGGUGGCGCGCAUGCAGAGAAAGCUUCAACAAACUUUCUGGGGAAGGGGGACACAAACCAAGGUGACAAAAGCCUAAAACUUUCCCGAUCUCUUCUCUUCUAAACUGUUAUACCUUUCUCUCUUCAACAACUAGCAUGUCUUUGAAGGCCCUGUUGAGAUAUGCCUUUACUUUCUGCAAAAUUUACAUGCUGCAACUUGAAUCAGAAAUCUCACUAAUUUGCCUGUAUUGCUGGGACAACAAAACAACAAGCAUUAUUGACAUGUAUGGUGAUAACCUACUGGGCAAUUCACAGCUGGAUCCUGGCAGCAUGAUGGGUGAAAAGACAGUUAGCUCACCGAAUUCUUGGCUUAGCUGCGGAUAUUGCUGGUGGUGAAAAAUAGCCAUCAACAUAGCUUGGUGGUUUCUGUGCACAUUGAAUGGAUGAUAGUGUCAUUGUCAAACUUCAUGUAAAAGCCGGCGGUUCGGGAGGGGAAAAUGUACUAAAACUUGCCUCUUUGAAAGAAGUAACAUACAAAUCUAAGGUUUGUUAGGCUUUCUAAACUUCAUGUAAAUUGGGUUGUACCAUGAGUGAGAGUUUCUGUUAUCUUUAUUGCUAUCAACCAUAUCUGACUCGGCUUGGCUAAGUGACAACUGCAGGAUAAAUAAACAGAAAAUGUAGCAAAAGUUGCAUUGAAAAAGGGAAAAAAGGACUGUACCUUCAAAUUAUGAGGCUCUGAUGUGUUGUAUUCAAAAGGUAUUGGGUUUGACUUUAUUUUCUCUGCAUACUGAAGGUUAUCACCUUGUUUGUUGCUCUCGCUUGCCAGAUCUGUUGAAGAGAAAAAAUAUCAAGAGACGGAAAAGACACAGAGACACGGGACGAAAAAGAAAACAUUAGUACAAAGCUAGCAAAGGCUAUAUUGCAAUAAAAUGUAGUUUCAGGAGAAGGAGGUCUAAAACCUUGUCUGACCUUGUUCAUGCGCUUGUUUAUUUGCCGCAAGCCCAAGUCGGACAUUUGAAAGCAAUUUGUUUUCUCCACUUGUGCACCCAUGAGUACCAACCUUGCGCUAUUAUGAACUGGCAAUUUGUUGCUGUCCUCUAUUGUAUCCUGGUAUGUACAUAAGACGCAGGAAGAAAAAUGGAAUGAGAACACAUAACUAUAUUAAACCCUAAGAUGCAAUUCUGUCGCUGUGUAAUAAUUGUCAGCAAAAAAGGAAGUAUGAAAAGAGGAUAGAAAUUAAAAGGAAUUUGGAAGUUAGACGAGUAAAAAUGUCAGACACUUGACCGGAGAGACAAACAGCAAUAAAAAUAUAAUUAGACCUAUAUUCUAAUUAUUCUGUUAUCUUCAAAUGCAGGUUCGUUCAGAUUUAGGAUGGGGUUCAGAUUGCUGCAAUUAACACCUUCGGUCUGAAUAUCCUUGGAAGCACCUGUAACAGAAUAAUUAGAAUAUAGGUACAAUUCCUUGGCUGAUAUGUCUGUUUCUAAAUUUUGACCAGGCUGUCAAAAUAUUCAAAAGAAAAAAAAGAGUAAAUACUCAGGGGGAGAACUCCAAAAAAUAUAUGUAGGCACACGGAUUUUUUUAAAUGAGAUAAUUCUAGAGGAACUAACUACCUCCAUCAUCUGAACUGCUUCCUCCAUCCUUUGAUUCAUCUGAAUGAUGUGGAUCACCAUUGUCAGCGUUACUGGCAUUGCCAUUGAUCCCCAUGAAUUCAUCUGAUUCCAUUGUAACGUCCAAAAGGCACACCCAAAAACAAAAAUUCCUAAGGAGAAAACACAGGUGGUUAGAGACUCAGAUUCCAUCGUAACAUUCCAAUAACACCGAAAAACACAAGAUAAUGAUCUCCCGCAAGCCUAGAAAAGAAGAACUAAGCAUACUGACAAAGAACAAAAAUGCAUCUAAUUACCACUUUUACUGCUUGGACUAUAUGACAACAAUAAGACCAGUACACACAAAGACCACCGAAUCAUGUUUUCAGGCAUUAAAAAAUUGUUCCAAGACAUCGAAAAAUUGUGAGUUAAACAAUGACAUUUUGCAUGAAAAAAAGGCUCAGCUCAUGUGAAUGAUAUGCAUCAUCCUUGUCAGCAUUAUUGACAUUGACAUUGUGAGAGCAUGAGACACCGGCUGCCCUGUUCGUAGCACAAUCCUAGCUCGUCUGCGCAAACAGCAUCAUACAAAACAGCAGGCCACCAUCCCUCCCCCACCCCUGCCACAUAUCACUCUGUGAUCAUAGGGGGCAGCUCGUUCCAAACGCAAAAAUCAGCGCACUCAAACUGGCCCAAAAAAUUCCCUACUCAAAACGGGAACACAAAACAAUCGGAUACAAAAAUUGCACAUGAAGAGGCAUGGUGUGCAAGUCACUGUCCAACAAAAAGAUCUAAAAUAUCCUUUUGGGCCCUAAGAAAACCCUUACUAACUUGCACAACCAAAAACAUGAUGUGCAAGUCCUUAGCGAAAACUCAAAAAUUGUGCAUCGUGAGUUUACAUGUGUAGCUCAACUCUCUAAGCUGCACAUUUUGAGGCGUGGUGUGCAACUCGUCAACUCUCCGACAAAUGAAACCUUGCUAGCUUGCAACACCAAAAACAGAUGUGCAAGUCUUUAGCGAAACCUCAAAAAUUGCGUGUCAUCAGUUUGUGUGUACAGCUCGACUAUCUAGCUUGCACAUGAUGAGACAUGGUGUGCAAGUUAACUCUCCAACAAAAAUGAUCUAAAAAAUCCUUUGCUAAAUUGCACAUUUUGAUGCAUAGUGUGUAACUUGUCAACUCCCCUGACAAAAAAAGAAAACCCUACUAACUUUCACAUCCAAACAAAUACAAGUCCUUUGUGAAAAACUAAAAAAUUGCAUGACAAUGAGUUUACGUGUACAGCUCGACUCUCUAACUUGCACAUGAUGAGGCAUGGUGUGAAUCAACUCUCCGACAAAAAGACCUAAAAAAUUCUUUUGCUAAAUUGCACAUUUUGGGGUGCGGUGUGAAACUCGUCAACUCUCAAACAAAGAAAAUCCUACUAACUUGCACAACAAAAAACAUGAUGUGCAAGUCCUUAGCGGAAACUCAAAAAUUGUGCGUCAACAGUUUACACUCAGCUCGGCUCUCUAACUUGCACAUUUUUGGGUGCGGUGUGCAACUCAUCAACUCUCUGACAAAGAAAACCUUACUAACUUGCACAACCAGAAAUAUGAUGUGCAAGUCCUCACGAAAGCUCUAAAUUUGUUUGUUAUGAGUUUGCGUGUGCAGCUCGACUCUCUAACUUGCACAUGACGAGGCAUGGUGUGUAAGUCAACUCUCCAAAAAAAAGACCUAAAAAAAAUCCUUUGCUAAAUGGCACAUUUAGGGCGCGGUGUGCAACUCGUCAACUCUCCAACGGAAAAGAAAACCCUACUAACUCGCACAACCAAAAACAUGAUGUGCAAGUCUUUCGUGAAAACUCAAAAAUCCCACGUUCAUGAGUUUACAUGUGCAACUUGACUCUCUAACUUGCACACGAUGAGACAUGGUGUGCAAGUCAACUCUCCAACAAAAAAAAUUAAAAAAAAAUCCUUUGCUAAAUUUCACAUUUUGAUGCAUGGUGUGCAACUCGUCAACUCCCCCCGACAAAAUCCUACUAACUUGCAUACCCAAGAACAUACAACUCCUUCGUGAGAACUCAAAAAUCCCGCGUCAUGAGUUUACAUGUGCAACUUGACUCUCUAACUUGCACACGAUGACACAUGGUGUGCAGUCAACUCUCCAACAAAAAGACCUAAAAAAAAACCUUUGCUAAAUUGCACAUUUUGAUGCAUGGUGUGCAACUCGUCAACUCUUUGACAAGAAAGCCCUACUAACUUGCACAACCAAAAAAAUGAUGUGCAAGUCCUUAGCGAAAGCCCAAAAAUUGUAUGUCAUGAGUUUACUUGUUCAACUCGGCUCUCUAACUUGCACACGAUGAGACAUGGUGUGCAAGUGAACUCUCUGACAAAAAGACCCUACUAACUUGCACAACGAAAAACAUGAUAUGCAAGUCCUUAGCGAAAGCUCAAAAAUUGCAAGCCAUGAGUUUAUUUGUGCAGCUCGACUCUGUAAAUUGCACAUGAUGAGGCAUGGCGUGCAAGACAACUCCAACAAAAGACCUAAAAUAAAUCCUUUUCUAAGUUGCACAUUUUGGGGCGCGUUGUGCAACCCGUCAACUCUCCGACAAAGAAAACCCUACUAACUUGCACACCCAAAACACAUGAUUUGCAAGUCCUUCAUGGGACCUCAAAAAUUUUUUGCACACCCCUGAGUUAUUUAUGUGCAAUUGACCUUUUAUGGGUAACUCAUCAGAACAAAAAGAAACUAAAACCCUUGAUGGCUCCUUCCUCUUCCAGACUUCCUAAAGAUAAUUUGUUUGAGCUUUGUAUGUAAUUGAUUUUCCUUAAUACAACAUUUUCGGAUGAUUCUUUGCUUCUCUCAAACUUAUGCCAUUAGUGAGUAGCGAGGGUCGAAAGACUGUGCAUCACAAACAUUUGCAUGAUAUGCCAGCCCACAGAAAAUAUAACACCUAAAACACAUUGCAUGUCCAUAAAAAGAGACCACAGACACAUACUAAAAAAAUAUUCAAGUUUUGAUAAACCCUACUGCUAUCACAUGUCCAGACUACUACUUGUUUGCAGGAGUCUCUUCUUCAUAUGGACCGAGCCACCUCUCAGCGAUUGACAGUGUAAACAUGGAGGAAUAGCCCGCCCAAGGUGUCCACCUCAAAUCGGUAGAACGCUGUCCUUUCUGAUUCCAUGGCAAAUGCAGAAAUCUGCCCAUCCAUCAACAAUAACAAUGGUCCGGCUUGCUGCAGUAGUGUACUCGCCGAUCAUACACUUAAGCGGCGGCUUGAAGACAAAACUUCUAAUAAAACAAAACUUAUAGCUUGAACUACAUAAAAUAAACUUAACAAUCUUAGCAUCAUCAGGAACAGGAAAAAGAACUCACCGGAAUCCUGCAACCAUGUCCAUGUCGCUCACCCUGUGCACAAUGAACUCACGGUGAUGUUCAUGUAUAAGUCAACACCUUUAAAAGCAACCAGAAUCAUUGCAACAUCAUCAUCACGGAGUCCAGCCAUGUCCGUGAACACAAUUGAGUGGAACAAAAUCACAAACUUCGUACACGACUUCUUGAAGACCUGCACAAAACAAGAAGAAAAUAAACUCAAUACACAAUCAGAAACUCGCCAAAUUAAACAAGAAAACACAGAAGAUAGGCCUGCGGAUCUGAGGAAGAACAAUCAGAAACUAACCAAAAUAAGAUUGGGUCUUCACCAAUAACGUCAUCCUGCCCCUCCACUACAGCUUCGAAGGCGCACCAAUAGGACACUGUCACCAGAUUUAAGCUUAUGGAUCCUUGCAAAAAGUCUCCAAUAUGCACCACAAAGAAUGGUGACAUCAUUCCUCCUCUCAACAUACACAUCACUUAAAUCCACUGAAAUCCCGCACGACGAGAAAAUUCUCAACAAAGUCGGUGAGACGAUCUCUGAAGCACGGAGGUACACUCUAUAUGGCCAGAAAAAUUAAACCUCAAACCGUGACUAAAAAUUAUUAAGGACCACUGAGCUACAAGCAAUUGAUUAAAAAAAAGAGAAUAAAACGAACAUACCACAAAAUCCCUGCACCCGUCGCCCAUGUUGGUGAACGAUGAUAAGCACACAUUGGGAUGCUUGCAGACCACAUCAAACUUAUUGCGAGCAUGGAAUCGGGGGGCCAUGAUCUGCAAGAAUGCAGAAAAUGUAGAUUCAAACAAAAUGUUUUGCGGAGAAGGAAAAAGGUACUCUAGAUUCUAACUGAAAGAACAAAUAGCCUCAUAAACAUAGAUUGCAAUAACCCCACUAAUAACAACUCUGUCAGAACCCCCCCCCCCUCCCCCCAGAACAACAUAUCCCCACACAGAACAAAACAAAAAAGUACUCUAUUAUCCAGUCUGGGAUUUUAUAUCAAGAUUAGUUCUGCCAGAAAGAGUUAGUGGUAAAAAAAUCAACUACUGAGAACCAACGUACUAUGUUAGAGUUCUCAACUUCUCAAUUUGCCUGACGGAUAGGUUCCAUGAUUUAACUCUCAGCUGAACUAAAUCGUGAUAAAUAAAUAAAUAAAACACUGCCCCUCCUAGCAAAAACACAUCCCUUGCCGACAAGUUCAAAAUCUCUCACCCGCCCCCUAACACCAUACCCGCAUCGCGUACAAUAAUAAACAAACAAACAACGGUCUAUUUGCCUCUAUCGAAUCACAAAUACAUAUACACAGAACGAACAAAUACUUAUUUCUCAGGCGCCUGAUCAAUAGCAAAUUCGUUUUACAAAUCAAGCAGCUGAGCAAUAAUCACACUUAAUUUAUAAACUACUAGUACAGUAGUUUAUACAAAACAUAACAAUAUAAUUGGACAUUCAAGCAAAAUGAUCUCGGGGCCGAUGCUAGAAGCCGCGGCCACGGACAUGGCACCCAGUCCACGCCGCCCGCCGGCCGUGGCUGGCGUCAGAGCACGUGGUGGCGCAGUGCACGAGGAACUGUGCGGCGGUGGAUAGCGCCGAUCAGCCCUAGACUCCUUUGCUUGUCUCUUGCACGAUAAUCUAAUCCGGCGCCGACGCGUAUCGAGAGCGGUCACCGCAGAGAGUUGCUGCGUGGACAGUUGAGUCGGCGAUGUCGGCCCGAGAAGGCAGCACUGUGGGAACAGGAAAAAGAAGGUUCGAUGGAGUGUAAGGAGACACGGAAAAUCAGAACAUGCACGGAAAUUGAUGCAUGGUGGACGACGACGAUGAAAGAAACCUUCUUGCUUUUAUUAUUAGGGAUUAUUAUAUUUUGUUAUGCCUAGUGGGCUUGUGAUUGUGGGCAAAGGGAGCCACAGACAGAGAGAUAAGAAUAAGUGGGCUUAGUAUGAACAAGAACUUCGUGUGGUUCAUAGAGCACGGGUGUUAACGAACAUGCACGGAAAUUGAUGCACGGCAGACGACGAAGGAAACUUUCCUAUUUUUAUUAUUAGUGAGGGAUAGAUAGACUGAACCCUUGUAAAUUGAAAAUUGAAAACGGAGUGCGUAAUAGAAGAGCGAACUGAUCGAACACACAACUACGCAGUCAGUGACGUCACCCUUGGUAUGGCCAGCUGACAUGCCGAACCGAGCCACCGCGAUCCGUGGUGUUCAUUGCGAGCAGAACACGUCUCAGACAAUGGGGCCCAGGAAUCUACGUAAUUGGUAUGGGACUCGGGCCCUCGGGAACCUUCGCCCGGAAAGACUUGUUGCAUCUCCUUGCGUGUUAAUGAAGCGGUUGGGACGUACAAGCGGCAUCAUGCGGGCAACUCUGACUAAUUUGGAACACAGAAAGAUACCAGAAAAGUGUUUACAUGGCACUUAGAAGAUUACUGUUUCGUACUCCCUCCGUCCCGAAAAGGUUGUUGCGGGCACUUCACAAAUAUCUUCUUACAAAAACGUUCUCGAAAUUAAAAUAAUUACAGUCCAGAAAGGGUAUUACAGGAUCCAAAUUCUAAUCGCCUCCGCCAGUGUCCAGGUCGCCGGAGCCACUCCCUCUGCAGGUCCCCUCCUUCUUCCCCUCUCUAGGUUGCUUCCGCAAGUCCUCUCCAGGCCAUAUCCAUCUCCAGCCCUGCCACGAUCCCACGAGCUACAGCCACAACUUCAAAUCAAUCACACACCAGAAUCCCAAGAGCUAUAUCUGCAUAUUCAAAUUAAUCACACACCACAAAUCCCAGAAGCUACAGACAGACGCAUAUUCAAAUCAAUCAGACCAAGAUCCCAGGAGAACAGUCUUAGUUCCAAAUCAAUCACACAGAUCGACCACGAUCGAGGAGCUGGACUUGAGGUGUUGCUCCUCCUCCCCUUCAAAUGCAAAUCAAACACCUUCAAGAACAAGAACAUAUGGAGGUUAAUGGAUAUUGACAAAUAAAAUGGGGCAAAUCAAUCAGAAAUCAUGGGCUAAAUCUGAAUUGAGGAGCCGCUUCUUCUGCUUGCAGCAGCCUCAAAAAUCUCGCAGAUCGAAAAGCGCCGCAAAAAAAGAACAAAGAGAAAAGUGAGGAGAUCGAAAAAAACCUUCUUCUUCUGCUUGCAGCCGCCUUGACGAGCUGUGCCCUCCUCCCCUUCCGUCGUCGCGUCGCCGCCACCGGAUGCAGACUCGCCGCCACCAGAUCCGGGCUCGCCACCAACAGAUCUCGAAGCUGCUGCUCCUACUCCUCCUCGGCUGCGGCGACAGCGGCCCCAGCUCCGGCUCCUCCCCUUUGGGCACCGUGAAGACGGCGACCGGAUCUGGUCUUGAAACCACCGGAUCCGGCGAGAUUCAACUCGCCUUUUGGUAGGAGCGCGACGGCGGCGAGGGAAGCGCAGGGGAGAAGAGAGGGGAAGGUUCAGGGGAGCACGGGGGAGAAGAGAGGGGAAGGUGGAGGGGAGCACGGCGGGGGCGACCGGAGAGAGGGAUAGGGCCCGAGAGGAGAGGGAGAGCGGCAGAGAGGGGGACGUGGGGAGGAGAGGGGGGAGCUGGGCGAAAAUAAGGGAGAGGAGCGCGGAGCUGUAGAAAAUGGAAGGGUUUUUUUUCAAAAAUGCGGCCGUGACAAUCUUUUCGGGACGGAGUGAGUAGCAUGUCGCACAACAUGCUCAGUAGAUUUAACUAUUAUGCUCCCUGUGUUUCUCCUGUCUUACUACCGCUGCUGAUGAUGAACAGGUAGAGGAGAGGGAUGAGAACGAGUGAUAAGAAGGCGCCAGUAACGGUGACGGGUCGGGAGACAUGGAGUGGUGACUGGAGACUAUGGAGUCCUGUUGAUAC
rnacentral:lncRNA from 1 species